rnacentral:lncRNA from 1 species
GAGUACAAAGGUACUCAGCAAGACUUACAUCAGAUCCUACAUACAUGCAUAGUAUCAAGAAGGGUUGGUGGAGUUAUUGCAGCAAGCCAGCUUUGACUCUUGGCUAGACUAUCCUACGAUACUCCAACUUGAAAUAGUUUUGCGCACACGAGUCCACUACUCACCACUUCAAUACACUACCGAGGAUCCACCUCCGUCUUCCUACGGAAGAGCCAUCCUCGGCACUCACACUUAUCUUGAGGCUUUUAAUAGUUUCCAUUUACUUGUCUAUGAACUGUAUAGGCAACCAAGUAGUCCUUUACCGCGGACGCGGCUAUUCGAAUAGAUUAUGAUAACCCUGCAGGGGUGUACUUCUUCAUACAUGUUUCCACCACUUAGCGUCUGCACACGACAUGUGCUCGGCAGACUUCAAGCGAAAGCCGACGUGGGUGUAGACCACGACCUACCUAAACACUUAAGCCUCUAGUCCAGGUUUAUCGCCUAUUCAGGUUCCAUCUGCAGGGAGUCCGGCCGAGGUUUCCCAUACGGCCCCGAACGAUGUGAACAGGGUUCCCGAGAUACCUAACGGGUAUUCGGUACACCCGGCCACGUACCUACCGCAUCACAGCCCACCCCUACGGUCAGCGCUGUCCACGGCCUCCAGUAGGCUACAAACACCAGAAACUACUUGCAACUCCUGGACAGAGAGCUAGGGUGAAUAAGAAGUCGAGCGGGGUCAUAUUUCAGGGCCCAAUGCAUGGUAGUAGCUGUAUCUUAAAUCACACAUACAGAUCUCAGUGCCUAAGGUCGGCUUCAAUGAAACAACCCACCAUGUACUCCUACAUGGCCUCUCAUCGAUACCUUUACCAAAUCGUGUUCACCACACCACUCUUAUUACCGACAUAAUCAUUUCACUCUAGCCCAUCACCCAGAUGAACCAGACCUGACACAACUCUAAGCAUAGCAGGCAUAGCAAGGUAGGAACAACACAUACAUAUGGCUCAAUCAACUCCUACACAUGCUAGUGGGUUUCAUCUAGUUACUGUGGCAAUGACAGGUCAUGCAGAGGAAAUGGGUUCAACUACCGCAGCACACAGCAGUUUGAAUCGCGUUGUCUUAAUGCAGUAAAAGAGAGCAGGAGCGAGAACAUGGGAUUGUAUCGAUAUGAUCAAAUGGUUGGUUGCUUGCCUGAUGGUUCAUUGCACUGAUACGAUUCUUCGUUAGGGUAAUCACGGUACUCCUCGGGGACAGAUCCUGUCGCAAAGGAUAACGAUACACAGGCAUCACCAAACAAUGUGCAACAAUAUGAUGCAUGCAUGAAACAUGGCAAUAUGAGUGUGUUGGGCUAAUGCAACUAAAGCCAGUAGGGUUUGAGCAAAUUUGAAUCAAAGAUUCAAAUUUCAAAUUCAAAUAUGGCCUUUUAAAGUGCCUUUCCUUGUUCUGAUUAAAACAUCAAUUUAACUUGUUUGGUCAUGCAUGAAAAUAGUACAGAUGGAUAGAUUGGAUUUUUCUGAUCAUUUUUCAUAUAUAAUUUGUCCAAUUUGGAGUUACAGAAUAAAAGUUAUGAAUUUUUGAAGUUUAAAUAAUAUUCUAAAUUUCCUGAUUUAAUUUAAAUCCAGAAAUAUCAUUUACUGCGUCAGCCUGACAUCACAGUGACAUCAGCAGGUCAACGGGGCUGGCUCGGGUCAAACCUGACAUGUGGGGUCCACACGUCAGUGUCACAGGGGCUAAUCCCGCGUUGACCCCGGGCUGGUUAGCUUUGACUAAGCCCUGGGCCCACUUGUCAGCGUCUGUAGGUGGUGGUUUAGUGGCUAAUUAACUAGGCCAUGUCAGCUCGCCGGAGUUCUGGCCGGCGGCGACCAACAGUGCGGCGGCGAUAGUGGUUUUGGUCGUUUCGGCCACCAAAUGGACCGCGGAGAUCACCGGAGUGAAGCUGAGGACGACCCGCGGCUCUUGGCGGAGUCCGUUGGGGUCGGGGUGGCCGGAGUUGACGGCGGUGAGCUCGGCUGCGGCCGCCGGGGUUCGGUCGUGCACGGGAGUGGUGCUGGAGCUCGAAGUCGAGCAAAGUGAGGCGCUAGGGAUGCUCUACUGGGUUCUGUGAACGCGUUGGACUCGCCGGGGUGACCAAAUGGUCACCGGAGCUGCGUCGACGGCGAGCUCGGCGACGGCGGAGGUUCGGCCGUGGUGGAGAUGAAGCUACGAUGAGGGAACGAGGGGGAGAAGAGGGGGAAACGGUGGCGUAGCUCACCGCGGUUGCAGUGGGCGUCGAAGCGGGCUCGGGGACGCGCUGGAGACGGCGAAUUCGUCGGCGACGGUGGUCGGAGCCCGAAGAGGGGAACGGCGACGUGGCGGCGAUGCAGGGCUUCCGGGGACUCGUGGAGCGGUGGGGAGGAAGAGGGAGUCGAGGCGGAGCUCCUGAGCUGGUCGGGGGAGCGAGGGGUGGUCGGAGACAGUGGCUACGGCGAACGGUGGCGACGGUGUGCUUCGGCCGAGAGCGAGAGAGAGCGAGGGAGAAACGGGGGAGAGUGAGCGAGAGCAGGGGGGAUCGGGACGGGCUGCGGACGUCGUCCACGCGGCCAGGAGGGCGUCGGCAAGCAGGAGGUGGCCGCGCGGCCGCGCGCGCGCGAGCACGCAGCAGCUUCGGGGCGUGGGGAGGAAGACGACGGGGAGUACAGUGUUGGGCUGGGUCGGCUGUUAGCUGGGCCGGCCAGCUGGCUGGGCCGCACAGGUAAGUCUUUCCCCUUUCUUUCUGUUUUCUGUUUUAUUUAAUAUAUCUGCAACUUUGUUGAAUUAAUUAAAAUACCUAGGCAACUCCAAAAUUCACCAAACUACUCCUGGUCCAUAGUUGGAUUAUUUCCAACAUGAAACAUUUUAGUUUGGAGAUAUUUGAGCAUUUAAAUAUUUUAUAUUAUUUUAAAUGCCCAAAUUCAAAUAUCUAUGAUUUAAUUCAAAGACCCUAUGAUGGCCUAGAAAAAUGUGCACCACUUUUGUCAGAGGUUCUGAACCAACGCUAAAAUGAUGGACAUUUUAGAAGGGCAUUUCAGGUUCAUUGAAAAAUUAUUUUAGUAACCCUAGUUGGUUUCAGAGGGGACUGGGGGUUCUGUCAUCCCCAUUUCAAGUUUCUGAUGAAAAAGUAAACAUGAUGCAACACUCUAAUGCAUGACUAGCUAGGGUGUGACAACUCACCCCCACUCAAAAGAAUCUCGUCCCGAGAUUUGGGUUCCUCCGAGAAGAAGGCGGGAUAUUCGAGUCGAAGAUGAUCCUCCCUUUCCCAAGUUGCUUCAUCCUCAGAAUGGUGCGACCAUUGAACCUUGAGAAACUUGAUAUUAUGACGUCGCGUGGUACGUUCGGCUUGAUCAAGGAUACGAAUGGGGUACUCUCGAUAUGUAAGAUUAUCUUGGAGAUCAAGCGUUUCGUGGUCCACUUCACGGAUAGGAUCCGAGAAGCAACGCCUGAGUUGAGAAACGUGGAAGACAUCGUGAACUCUGGAGAGGUGCGGAGGUAGUUCCAAUUGGUAGGCAACUUCUCCUCGUUUGGCAAGAAUGCGAAAAGGUCCAAUGUAACGAGGAGCCAAUUUGCCUUUGAUACCGAAACGAUGGGUUCCCUUCAGAGGGGUGACCCGAAGGUAAGCUUUCUCGUCAACCUCGAAAGUCAUAGCCUUAUGUUUUCGGUCAUAUUGACUCUUUUGACGGGAUUGGGCUGUUUUCAACUUUUCACGAACGAUACGAACUUGUUCUUCUGCUUCCUGAAUCAUAUCCGGGCCAAAGAAUUGUCUUUCCCCGGUUUCUGACCAGUUAAGGGGUGUUCGACAUCGUCGUCCAUAGAGAACUUCAAAAGGGGCUUUACCCAAGCUAGAUUGAUAGCUGUUGUUGUAAGCGAAUUCGGCAAAUGGAAGGCACUUCUCCCAGUCCAUUCCGAAAGAGAUAACGGAGGCUCGAAGCAUGUCUUCUAGAAUCUGAUUGACGCGUUCCACUUGACCACUUGACUGAGGGUGGAAAGCGGUGCUAAAAGAGAGACGAGUUCCCAUAGCAUUUUGGAAACUUUCCCAAAAUCGAGAGGUGAAAAGACUUCCUCGAUCCGAAUUGAUUUCCAAAGGAACACCAUGGAGAGACACUAUCCGGGAGAUGUAUAAGUCUGCCAGCUGACUAGCGGUUAUACUCUCACGAACAGGUAGGAAAUGAGCUGCUUUGGAAAGACGAUCGACCACGACGAAAAUAGCAUUAUUCCCUCUCUUGGUCCUGGGAAAACCGGUAAUGAAAUCCAUACCAAUUUUAUCCCAUUUCCAUUCAGGAAUAGCUAAGGGUUGAAGGGUGCCAGCAGGUCGUUGAUGCUCUGCUUUUACACGACGACAGACGUCGCAAUUUGCAAUAUACUGAGCAAUUUCUCUCUUCAUCCUAGUCCACCAGAACCUCUGGCGUAGGUCCUGAUACAUCUUAGUACUACCGGGAUGAAUGGUGAGAGGAGAUUCAUGGGCCUCCUUAAGGAUCAACUGCCGCAGAUGCUGGUUCUUGGGAACCACUAGACGAUUCUCAAAGUACACAACACCAUGAUCAUUUGUGGAGAAACAACUAGCACCUCCGCUAGCAAUGUUCUCCUUGAUUUUGGAUAUUCCCUUAUCUCGCUUUUGGGCAGCGAUGAUUUGAUCCGUAAGAGUAGGUUUUGCCACCAAGGUGGAAAGAAAACCUUGAGGUACAAUGUGAAGGUUAAGCUUCCGAAAUUCCUCAUGGAGAAGCGGUUGACUUUGUUGUAACAUCAGAUUGUUACAAUAAGAUUUACGACUUAGCGCAUCAGCCAUGACGUUGGCUUUCCCUGGGGUAUAGGUUAUUCCUAAAUCGAAGUCUGUAAUCAAUUCAACCCAACGUCUCUGCCUGAGAUUCAAAUCCGGUUGGGUGAAAAUGUACUUCAGACUUUGGUGAUCAGUGAAUAUUUCGCAACGAUUACCGAGGAGGUAAUGUCGCCAGGUCUUAAGUGCAUAGACUACGGCUGCAAGCUCUAGAUCAUGAGUAGGAUAAUUCUCCUCAUGUGGGUGCAAUUGCCGUGAAGCGUAAGCAAUUACGUGUCGAUCUUGCAUAAGGAUGCAACCUAGUCCUUGUCGCGAGGCGUCGCAGUAGAUAACAAAGUCCUUGGAGAAGUCUGGCGGUACCAGCACAGGAGCAGAAGUCAGGCGUCUUUUCAGUUCCUGAAAACUGUGCUCACAUUGUGGAGUCCAUUCGAACUUCUUAUCUUUCUUGAGGAGUUCGGUUAGGGGUUUAGCAACUUUGGAGAAGUUCUCGACAAAGCGACGACAAUAGCUCGCUAAGCCUAGAAAACUCCGAACUUGCUUGACCGAUUCAGGUGGAGUCCAAUUAAGGACGGCUUGAACUCGCUCAGGGUUAACAGCAAUACCUUUACCAGAUAUUACAUGACCCAGAUAGGUCACUUCUGGCAACCAGAAUUCACAUUUUGAAAAUUUGGCAUAAAGGCGAUGCUCACGAAGUUUCUGCAACACUAGCCUUAGAUGUUCGGCAUGUUCUUCCUCGUUCUUGGAGUAGAUGAGUAUAUCAUCGAGAUAAACUACGACGAACUUAUCCAAAUACUCCAUGAAGAUUGAGUUCAUUAACCGAGAAAAGGUGGCUGGAGCGUUGGUUAAACCGAAGGACAUGACGGUGUACUCGUAUUGGCCAUAACGAGUAACAAAGGCUGUUUUAGGAAUGUCCCCGUUUCUGAUUUUGAUUUGAUGGUAGCCCAACCUCAAAUCCAUCUUAGAGAAGACUGAAGAUCCAGCGAGCUGAUCAUACAGGUCGUUGAUCCUGGGAAGUGGAUAUUUGUUCUUGAUCGUGACCAAAUUGACAGGUCGGUAAUCUACAACCAUCCGGUCCGUACCAUCCUUCUUCUUAACGAAUAGGACGGGGCAAGCCCACGGAGAUGAACUAGGGCGGAUGAAACCCUUUUUCAAGAACUCAUCGAGUUGUUUCUUAAGCUCGGCUAGUUCUAGGGGUGCCAUCUUAUAAGGCCUUCUAGCAAUCGGAACGGUUCCGGGGAUGAGGUCUAUUACAAACUCAACAUCCCUGUCAGGUGGAACCCCUGGCAAUUCUUCUGGAAAGACAUCCGGAAAGUCACGGACUACCGGAACGUCCUCAAGGUCUGGCAAAGGGUUGGCGUUAAGAGAAUAUAGUUGUCGCUUGGCUAUUCGAGUCAAGACAUUGACUAUCUUCCCCGAAGGGUGGGUGAGUUGAACAGUCCUAGAGAAGCAAUCAAUUUGGGCAUGAUGCGCUGACAUCCAGUCCAUACCCAGAAUGAUAUUAAUAUCUGAAGAUUUAAGGGCUAUCAAAGACGCAAGGAAAACAAGUCUGUCGACUUGGAUCUCAUUUCCAUAACUUACCCUAGAGGUCUGCCAUCUAGACCCAGGGGUAGAGAUUUCCAUAGUGGAUGGCAAGUCACAGAAUGCAACGUUAUGCAAACGAGCAUAAUUUUCAGAUAUAAAAGAAUGAGAGGCUCCUGUAUCGAAAAGAACAGAUGCCGGGUGGCAAUUAACAAGAAGCGUACCGAGAACGACGUUGGGGUCCUCUUGAGCUUCUUCGGCAGAGACACAGUUGACAUGGCCACGUGAAGCGGUGACCGGUUUAGCAUGGAACACCUUCCCUGUCGGCUUGCCACGGCCAAUAGCCUUAGCAGAUUGAUUGGGGUUGGUCUGGGGACACUCACGCAUAUAGUGACCAGAUUCCCCACACUUGAAACAAGUCACGGAACUGGUACGUGGAGGAGCAUUAUUGGUUGGACCCCCAUAGGGCUUAGCUGGUGCAGACUGUUGAACAGGGCGAGGCGCCUGGAAAGAUGGCCUCGGUGUGAACCUGGGUGGCAGGGCGGUGUUGGGUACCCACACGCGGCGCUUCUGAGGACCGGCACCGGAUGAGGAACCCGUGUCACGUCCAUGCUUGCGUGUUGCGUCAUAGUCAGUCUGACCAGUUUCAGCACUGAUGGCUUUGUUGACAAGUUUCGAAAAGGAUGUGCACUCAUGCAGACGGAGGUCGCGGCGAAGCUCAGGACUAAGGCCCUUACGGAACCUUGCUUGCUUCUUGGCGUCAGUAGAAACUUCCUCGGUUGCAUAUCGUGCAAGAUUACCAAACUCCCUGCUAUAGACAUCCACAGAGAGUCGGCCUUGGGUGAAAUUGCAAAAUUCUUCACGCUUACGGUCCAUGAGACCCUCCGGAAUGUGAUGUUCUCGGAAAGCCUCGCUGAACUCAGCCCAAGUAGUGACAUGGUCCGCUGGGCGCAUGGUUCCAUAAUUCUCCCACCAUAGACUGGCGGGGCCUUCAAGAUGAUAUGCAGCAAAGGUGACCUUGUCAGCCUCAGCUACCAGCGCGGAACGCAGCUUGUGAGAGAUACUGCGAAGCCAGUCAUCAGCGUCGAGAGGCUCGACGGAGUGGUGGAACAUGGGUGGAUGCAAUUUGAUAAAAUCACUGAGUGACACCACGUUAGCCCUCUGAUGGUGUGCUGUAUUCUGUUCAAUACGCUCCAACAAACGGUUUGUCUCCCGCUUGUUUCUCUCAGCUUCCAUCAUCACCUCGGCUAGUGAAGGAGGUUGAGGCAGAUGUUCAUUUCUGGCUUCACUGCCUUCGGCCUGCUCUUGGGAAGCAGGGUUGGCGCGCGUGUUGACCAUCCUAGGUAAACAAGACAAUGAUUUAGUCAGAAUGAUGAGAUUCCGACAUGGGAUACAUAAUGUAAGAAAUAACUCGGAAUGCAAGAUGAUCAUCCGUAUGACAUGGUGGAUACAGAAACUGCUUCUUUAUUCCAUCGUCAUACACACCAUACAAGGUUUAGUACAAGACCAAACAAAGUACUAUUACGGUGAGAAAAGGAUUACAUCUCAUCGGAGGCAUUCCAAGCUCCUAUACAUUAUUUUUCUACAACUCCGGAAAGAGUACAAACUAGGUCAUAACCCACGAGUCACGCGGGACGAUAGAUGACACAGCUAGUGCGAACUAGUGAUGCUACCCCUAACUCAGACCGAUCCGUAGUAGUCCUCAUAAAAGUCACCUCCAUAGCCCGGAAGCUCAACAUGUUCAUCCGGAAACAGACGAUCUCGCGGAGCUUGUGGACCAUAGGGGCUAGGAUGAGGCCUUGGACCAACAAACGGUGGCCUGCGGGGACCGCGAGGUGGGGUGAUGCCUCCUACAUCACGCCAAACCAUCACGUCUGGCAGAGCAGAUCUCACAGGAUAGAGAUCGCGCAUAUCUGAAAAUCCAGCUUGCACCGCCGGUGCGAACCGAGUCAAAGUGGCCCAGUGGUCAGCACGGGUAUUGAAGAGCUCCAACCUUAAGGCCCGAUUUUCACGGUCCUUAUCCUCGAGCAUCUCAGCUGUGGUGCGAGUCCGUGAAUCCUCCUGAGUGGAGUCAGCAUAGAUAGCCUGGAGAUACCCUUGUGCUCCCGGAAGUGAUCCUGGCAUAUACCGGAAGUCAGAGUCCCGAAAUAGACCAGAUCUGACUCGCAUAAUGGUCAUCAUAGAGUAGGCGGCAUCCUGCACAGCCAUCUCGAUAGUAACCCCGAGUCCAUAGGAGCAGUGAAGAGGCUCAGUGGAUCCAGGAUAAGAUGGAAAUAUCCUGACAGUGCAGAGAUACUGGCUUUGGUUGAAGUCUCGGAAUUGCUCUUCGACCGUGUACUCAGGAUACCAGCGGUAUCCAGCCUCAGUCAUUACCCUGACCAACUUAGCAGUAUGGCCGGGUACAUCUAGGCAUCGAGUCAGGCGAACCACUUGAUUGAGGUCGCGAGUGGCCAUCUGAAAGCAUAAUCAUAAUGCAAAGGCAUUAGAAUUUCUAGCAAAAUUUCGGCAGCAUAACAGCUGUAAAUGCUCAAAAAGGAUAUUGAGACAUUUGACAAAGGAUUUCGUACACACUCAACAUCAUCAUAUCAAGUCUUGAAACCAUUCCUACAACAUAAUGUGGUAGUAGAACUGAACUAGGCUGAUAACCAUCAAACUUAUAAGGUACUACUGAUUAGUAACACGUGAUCCUGAUAGAGAGAACAGAUCCUAAUUCCUUAACCCCCGGUGGAAUAAUGGACUGACUCAGAUCAGAAAGUCAUAAGGUAUAAGGAGUAAAAAGAGCCUUACGUUCCAACCCACAAACAAUUCCCCUACAUAUAACUAAAGAAUUUCUAGACUCAACAUCGACCAGUUUGGCUUGGAGAACCUACAGGCAGUCCGGCUCUGAUGCCAACGCUGUCAGGACCCCGACUCGAUGUCACAUCGAUCUAGCUGGUAACACCUCAUAUCACUUUGCGGCCUCACGCAUGGUAUCCCCACGGGUGUCGUCUUACCUUUUUCCCGGGACCGUUUGCGCCUUUUGGCUCACGUAUAUGAUAGUGUCGCUAGCAUCCAUAUGAUAAAGAGCCCGGGCUGACAUGACUAGUCGUAAACCCAAAGUGGCACAGACUUACAGGGACAGGCAUCCAUGACCCAGCUUCGAACGUGUCGGUCAUCAGCAAGUGGGUCCGGGCUGUAGCACUGGGCUAGCAGGACUCCGGUAAACCGGGCUGUAGCGGGCUAACAGGACUCCGGUACUCAAAGCGUGACAUUUCCCCGAAGGGACAGACACAGGAACGAAGAAGGACACAUGCCGGCCAGCCUAAGUGUUCCAGAGCAGUAGCAAGCUACCAUGGCUCAGCGGUAACACUAGGAGACAUUUCCCGAUAAGAGAGGCUACUAAAGAUAAACAACUAGAUAGUCAGAUCCCACACAUACCAAGCAUUUCAAUCAUACACACAGUAUGCUCGAUAUGUGUAAAUACAACGAAGCAUCACAACAUGACUCUACGACACAAGUACUUUAUUUAAGGCUCAGGGAGCCAUACAUAAUAUACACACAAAGUUACGGGUCUCACGACCCAACAUACAAGUCAUACAAUCAUACAAGCCAACAGCGGAAGUAACUUGUCUGAGUACAGACAACUAGUAAAAUAAAAGAGGCUUGGAAAGCCUGGCUAUACUAUGUGGUCCUUCACAAGCUCAGGGUCACCACCUGGGUCUUUAGCCUACUCGUUGAUGUCAACGUCUACAUAGAACCCAUCAGAAGGGGUUGCAGCGUCUUCUGUAAACAUGUAGAUUAUAGCAACAUGAGUACAAAGGUACUCAGCAAGACUUACAUCAGAUCCUACAUACAUGCAUAGUAUCAAGAAGGGUUGGUGGAGUUAUUGCAGCAAGCCAGCUUUGACUCUUGGCUAGACUAUCCUACGAUACUCCAACUUGAAAUAGUUUUGCGCACACGAGUCCACUACUCACCACUUCAAUACACUACCGAGGAUCCACCUCCGUCUUCCUACGGAAGAGCCAUCCUCGGCACUCACACUUAUCCUGAGGCUUUUAGUAGUUUCCAUUUACUUGUCUAUGAACUGUAUAGGCAACCAAGUAGUCCUUUACCGCGGACGCGGCUAUUCGAAUAGAUCAUGUUAACCCUGCAGGGGUGUACUUCCUCAUACAUGUUUCCACCACUUAGCGUCUGCACACGACAUGUGCUCGGCAGACUUCAAGCGAAAGCCGACGUGGGUGUAGACCACGACCUACCUAAACACUUAAGCCUCUAGUCCAGGUUUAUCGCCUAUUCAGGUUCCAUCCGCAGGGAGUCCGGCCGAGGUUUCCCAUACGGCCCCGAACGAUGUGAACAGGGUUCCCGAGAUACCUAACGGGUAUUCGGUACACCCGGCCACGUACCUACCGCAUCACAGCCCACCCCUACGGUCAGCGCUGUCCACGGCCUCUAGUAGGCUACAAACACCAGAAACUACUUGCAACUCCUGGACAGAGAGCUAGGGUGAUUAAGAAGUCGAGCGGGGUCAUAUUUCAGGGCCCAAUGCAUGGUAGUAGCUGUAUCUUAAAUCACACAUACAGAUCUCAGUGCCUAAGGUCGGCUUCAAUGAAACAACCCACCAUGUACUCCUACAUGGCCUCUCAUCGAUACCUUUACCAAAUCGUGUUCACCACACCACUCUUAUUACCGACAUAAUCAUUUCACUCUAGCCCAUCACCCAGAUGAACCAGACCUGACACAACUCUAAGCAUAGCCGGCAUAGCAAGGUAGGAACAACACAUACAUAUGGCUCAAUCAACUCCUACACAUGCUAGUGGGUUUCAUCUAGUUACUGUGGCAAUGACAGGUCAUGCAGAGGAAAUGGGUUCAACUACCGCAGCACACAGCAGUUUGAAUCGCGUUGUCUUAAUGCAGUAAAAGAGAGCAGGAGCGAGAACAUGGGAUUGUAUCGAUAUGAUCAAAUGGUUGGUUGCUUGCCUGAUGGUUCGUUGCACGAAUACGAUUCUUCGUUAGGGUAAUCACGGUACUCCUCGGGGACAGAUCCUGUCGCAAAGGAUAACGAUACACAGGCAUCACCAAACAAUGUGCAACAAUAUGAUGCAUGCAUGAAACAUGGCAAUAUGAGUGUGUUGGGCUAAUGCAACUAAAGCCAGUAGGGUUUGAGCAAAUUUGAAUCAAAGAUUCAAAUUUCAAAUUCAAAUAUGGCCUUUUAAAGUGCCUUUCCUUGUUCUGAUUAAAACAUCAAUUUAACUUGUUUGGUCAUGCAUGAAAAUAGUACAGAUGGAUAGAUUGGAUUUUUCUGAUCAUUUUUCAUAUAUAAUUUGUCCAAUUUGGAGUUACAGAAUAAAAGUUAUGAAUUUUUGAAGUUUAAAUAAUAUUCUGAAUUUCCUGAUUUAAUUUAAAUCCAGAAAUAUCAUUUACUGCGUCAGCCUGACAUCACAGUGACAUCAGCAGGUCAACGGGGCUGGCUCGGGUCAAACCUGACAUGUGGGGUCCACACGUCAGUGUCACAGGGGCUAAUCCCGCGUUGACCCCGGGCUGGUUAGCUUUGACUAAGCCCUGGGCCCACUUGUCAGCGUCUGUAGGUGGUGGUUUAGUGGCUAAUUAACUAGGCCACGUCAGCUCGCCGGAGUUCUGGCCGGCGGCGACCAACAGUGCGGCGGCGAUAGUGGUUUUGGUCGUUUCGGCCACCAAAUGGACCGCGGAGAUCACCGGAGUGAAGCUGAGGACGACCCGCGGCUCUUGGCGGAGUCCGUUGGGGUCGGGGUGGCCGGAGUUGACGGCGGUGAGCUCGGCUGCGGCCGCCGGGGUUCGGUCGUGCACGGGAGUGGUGCUGGAGCUCGAAGUCGAGCAAAGUGAGGCGCUAGGGAUGCUCUACUGGGUUCUGUGAACGCGUUGGACUCGCCGGGGUGACCAAAUGGUCACCGGAGCUGCGUCGACGGCGAGCUCGGCGACGGCGGAGGUUCGGCCGUGGUGGAGAUGAAGCUACGAUGAGGGAACGAGGGGGAGAAGAGGGGGAAACGGUGGCGUAGCUCACCGCGGUUGCAGUGGGCGUCGAAGCGGGCUCGGGGACGCGCUGGAGACGGCGAAUUCGUCGGCGACGGUGGCGGAGCCCGAAGAGGGGAACGGCGACGUGGCGGCGAUGCAGGGCUUCCGGGGACUCGUGGAGCGGUGGGGAGGAAGAGGGAGUCGAGGCGGAGCUCCUGAGCUGGUCGGGGGAGCGAGGGGUGGUCGGAGACAGUGGCUACGGCGAACGGCGGCGACGGUGUGCUUCGGCCGAGAGCGAGAGAGAGCGAGGGAGAAACGGGGGAGAGUGAGCGAGAGCAGGGGGGAUCGGGACGGGCUGCGGACGUCGUCCACGCGGCCAGGAGGGCGUCGGCAAGCAGGAGGUGGCCGCGCGGCCGCGCGCGCGCGAGCACGCAGCAGCUUCGGGGCGUGGGGAGGAAGACGACGGGGAGCUACAGUGUUGGGCUGGGUCGGCUGUUAGCUGGGCCGGCCAGCUGGCUGGGCCGCACAGGUAAGUCUUUCCCCUUUCUUUCUGUUUUCUGUUUUAUUUAAUAUAUCUGCAACUUUGUUGAAUUAAUUAAAAUACCUAGGCAACUCCAAAAUUCACCAAACUACUCCUGGUCCAUAGUUGGAUUAUUUCCAACAUGAAACAUUUUAGUUUGGAGAUAUUUGAGCAUUUAAAUAUUUUAUAUUAUUUUAAAUGCCCAAAUUCAAAUAUCUAUGAUUUAAUUCAAAGACCCUAUGAUGGCCUAGAAAAAUGUGCACCACUUUUGUCAGAGGUUCUGAACCAAGGCUAAAAUGAUGGACAUUUUAGAAGGGCAUUUCAGGUUCAUUGAAAAAUUAUUUUAGUAACCCUAGUUGGUUUCAGAGGGGACUGGGGGUUCUGUCAUCCCCAUUUCAAGUUUCUGAUGAAAAAGUAAACAUGAUGCAACACUCUAAUGCAUGACUAGCUAGGGUGUGACAGGCCCGAUUGAUGUGCUUGAAGUCAAUACACAUUCGAAGUGAUUUAUCUUUCUUGGGAACCAUAACGACAUUGGCAAGACACUCGGAGUGGUAUAUCUCGCGGAUGAACUCAGCGGCCAGAAGCCGAGCCACCUCCUCGCCAAUUGCCUUUCUCUUCUCCACGGCGGACCGACGGAGAUGCUCCUUAACGGGUUUUGCCUUUGGGUCGACUCGCAAACGGUUCUCAGCCAGUCCCCUGGGUACACCUGGCAUGUUAGAUGGCUUCCAUGUAAAGAUGUCCCAGUUCUCACGGAGGAACUGGAUGAGCGCUUCUUCCUAUUUGUUGUCGAGUGUUGUUGAGAUAUGGGUCGGAGCAGCAGUCGGUCGGGUGAACGUGGGCUGGCUUGGUCUCGUCGGCCGACUGAAAUGCGGACUUCGAGGCAGGCCUCUUGUCACGUAGCAAAUCACUCAGAUAUGCAGUUUUCUGGUACUCUUGAAACUCUACUGCCGCCAUCUGCUCAUCUGCUAUCUUUGCUGUAAGGGCAUAUUUAUCCCCAAGUGGUUUUGGUGAUUGAUGACAAUGCUUUUGCGGACUAAUAGUGUGCGUUAAGUUCUUUCAGAGAUUCAUCCAUUGGCACGAGAUGAUUUCCUCCCCUUGGUGUUUUAUUCAAGACGGUGUAGCUCCUUCGCUUCAUUGUUGGUGGACUAGUUUCGUAGGAGUCACCGUACUAUCAAGAGGGGAUCUGCUUUGGUAAGACUAGGGUGGAAUCAACACGUACACAUCCCUUUCACACCCUUCGUCUUCCUUUCGCACCUUUGGAGCUGCCCCCUUCUCUUCCGUACCUGCUUCGUCUUGUGCCAGCGGUAGUACCGCGGUCUACAGCGGUAGUACCGCCGAAGCCCUCCAGCGGUAGUACCGCUCCACGAAGCGGUAGUACCGCUCUCAGCGGUAGUACCGCUCCGCAGGGCGGUAGUACCGCUUGCGGGCUUCGGCCGUAGUACCGCAGCUAUUCCGCGCUACUACCGCCUCGAUUCGAGACUGGUGUUUUCUCGUGUCGGGUUUUGCGGCACUAGAAGCAGUAGUAGAAGCGGUAGUACCGCUCCAAGCGGUAGUACCGCUCCUACUCCCGCGGUAGUACCGCUCUGGUGCCAGUGGCCUGUCUUCCUCGCCAGCGCGGUAGUAUCGCUGGGUAGGGAGCGGUAGUACCGCUCUCAGCGGUAGUACUGCCCUGCCCCAGCGGUAGUACCACUCUGUGCGGAGAUGUACAGUGAGGUAACGGUUGGAAUUGUUCCCCCACUAUAUAAAGGUGUCUUCUUCCUCCAAGUUGACUUACCUCUUUCCCUCAAAGCUCCAUUGUUGCUCCAAGCUCCAUUUUCACCUGAUCUCUCUCCCUAGCCAAUCAAACUUGUUGAUUUGCUCGGGAUUGGUUGAGAAGGCCCAGAUCUACACUUCCACCAAGAGAAAUUUGAUUCCCCCCACUUAUCCCGAGCGGAUCUUGUUACUCUUGGGUGUUGAGCACCCUAGACGGUUGAGGUCACCUCGAAGCCAUACUCCAUUGUGGUGAAGCUUCAUGGUGUUGUUGGGAGCCUCCAAUUGUUGUGGAGAUUGCCCCAACCUUGUUUGUAAAGGUUCGGUCGCCACCUUCAAGGGCACCAAAUAGUGGAAUCACGGCAUCUCGCAUUGUGUGAGGGCGUGAGGAGAAUACGGUGGCCCUAGUGGCUUCUUGGGGAGCAUUGUGCCUCCACACCGCUCUAACAGAGACGUACUUCCCCUUAAAAGGAAGGAACUCCGGUAACACAUCCUCGUCUCCACCGGCUCCACUCUUGGUUAUUUCGUGCUUUACUUUUGCAAGCCUACUUAUUUUACAUCCUUUGCUUGCUUGUGUGCUAGUUGUUAUUGCAUCAUAUAGGUUGCUCACUUAGUUGCACAUCUAGACAACCUUUUUGUUGCAAAGUUCAAUUUGGUAAAGAAAAGCUUAAAAAUUGUUAGUUGCCUAUUCACCCCCCCCCCUCUAGUCAACCAUAUCGAUCCUUUCAAUUGGUAUCAGAGCCUCGUCUCUUUAUUAAGGACUUUGUCAUCCGAAGAGUAUGGUUGACACCAACGACGGUGCGGAGGAACACUCCGGUGUGGAUCCCAUCUCGUCUUCGGCCGAAGGGGGAACCUCGGUCUCACGUGAGGAAUUCAAUGUGGCUUUAGACACAUUGAAAACCUCCAUGACGGCCGAGGUUAAAAGCAUGUUUACUGAAUUUCUAGAAGGACUCAAACUAUCUACCUCGCCGAUGAAAGUGGGUGAUCCCACUAACAAGGUGACGGAUGCUACCUCCGACAAGGGGGAAGCUAACAAUGAAAAGAGUCCUUCUACUAGUGGUAGAAAUGGCACCGGCAUCUUUGCCCAUGUGGAACCUCCUAUUUAUAGAGGACCGAUUCCCUCCACUCAUUUAAAUCAUGCCGGUCCUCCUCCUAAAUAUGAGAAGCAUGAAGAUUUUGACUCUUGGGUUUAUCGCUUCAAGUGUCAUUUAAAACAUGUGAACACUAACCUUUGGAGAAUCAUCGAAGAAGGUUUUUAUCCUCAUGACCCAAGCAACUUCACCCCUAGAAGACGUGGACAAUCAAUUCAAUGAGAGUGCUCUCUUCAUCAUCCAAGAUGCCAUCCUUCCCGAAGAUCUUCCUCAUCUUCGACCUCAUGUCAUGGCUAAAGAAGCAUGGAAAUGUGUCGAGGGUCUCUAUCGAGGAAGUGCUAGCAUUCAACGCUCCAACUAUGAAGUGGUGCAAGAUGAAGCCGAUGAGUUUGCAAUGAAAGAAGAUGAAGAACCUCGUGAGCUCUUUUGAAGAGUGACCAAACUCGCAGUCGCACUCCGAGAUCAUGGAAGAAAGGACACGGAUGACAAUUGGAUCAAGCAAAAGUUCCUCAAGGCCAUGAUGCCCUACAACAAGGCCAUGUCCUCCGUCAUUCGUCAAAGACCGGACUUCCACUCCAUGACCUCAAGUGAAGUGUUGGAUGAGUUCGUUGCAAUGAGCAUCUUAGACAAGACCGCCGACAAUGCGGUGCUCCGUUCUCAAAGGGCAAAGAAGCCCAACCUUGCUUUGAAGGCCAAGGUUAUUAUGGAAGAAGAGGAAGAAGUGGAAGAUGAGGAAAGCAACCCUGAAGACACCAAAUUUGAUUACCAUGAGCACAUGGCCCUUGCUUCAAGACAAUUUUGGAGCAAGAAGAAUUCAAGACCCAACUUCAACAAGAACAACUCAAGUGGCGUCAAGGGCAAGCAACAAGUUAGAACUUGCUUCAACUGUGGCAAUGCGAGCCAUUUCGUUGCGGAUUGUCCUUACGAGAAGCGGGAAGACAAUGGUGGCAAGUUCAUCCGAAAAGACAAAGCCAAGUCCUUCCCCAACAAGAACAACUUCGCCAAGAAGACUCCCACUCGUGGGUUGGUGGUUCAAGAAGAAUACCAAGAGGAUGACGAUGAUGAUGAAAAUGAAGAAGCAAUGGCCAUGGCUUCCGCUGCCAUUGCUACUACUCCCCAGGUGUCUCUCUUUGAUUCACCCAACGAAAACAUCACCGCCAAGUGCCUCAUGGCUAAAGCUUCAAACAAGGUAACCCCCAACAUUAAAACCACCAUCAUUACUAAUCCCUCCAUGGAGGAGUGCAUUGAUGAACAUGAUGGGUCUAAUGAAGAAGUGAAUGAGUUUGAGUCUUUUAUGAGUAAGCUCAAGGGCAAGUCCAAGAAGCAUUUUGUUGCUCUCUUGGAACAACUUGGUGAGGCCAAUGACAUGAUCGAGGCUCACGAAGAAACCAUCUCUAAGAUGGAAGGUCAUAGUCGUGACUAUGCCGAUGAGAUAUCGGAUCUCUCUAAUGCUCUUAGGAAGAGCGUGUGCAUCGUUUGACUUUUGAGGAGUCACACAACGAUGACCAUGCUAAGUUAAAGAAAGAUCUUGAUCAUGCUCUUGUCGUGUCUUGUGUGCUAACCUCCGAGAAGGCUAAACUUGGGGUUGAUCAUGCUAGACUCAAAGAGGAGUUUGAGUUACUUGACAAGGCCCACAAGGUCUUGAAGGGUACUCAUGCUAAUAUCAAAGAGUCUCAUGCUCAACUCCAAGUUAAGCUAAUCAAGGAAAAGGCCACCUUUCCUCAUAUGGUAUUAUUUGAUAAUGCAUGUGCUACUAACCCGUGUUGUGAGCAUGUGCAUCUUGUGGAGGAGAAUGCCAAGUUGAAGGAUCAACUUGAGAAAGGCCUUGUGACUUGCAUUGAAGGUGAGAAGAACCUCAACGACCUUUUGAGCAAUCAAAAGGAAGUUGUGGCCAAGGAAGGAAUUGGGUUUGCACCCAAGUCCAAGAGCAAGAAGAAGAAGAACAACAAGACCAAACGUCCUCUUCCUCUCAAACAAACGUUUGUGAAAGAGGGAGAGGGUGCUCCUAAGGAGAAGAAGGAAAAAGUGAAGGGAGUUGAUGUCCAAAAGGGCAAAAGCAUUUCCUCAAACAAAGCCGGCGACUUUAACCCGUCAUAUGUGUUGUGCCGUGCUAGUGAUGGACAUGUCUUUGCUAAAUUUGUUGGUUCUCCUUAUGAGUACAUUGAAUGGUCUAUUUGGGUUCCCAAGACCCUUGUUACUAACAUCAAAGGACCCAUUACUAAAUGGGUACCUAAAACCAUGCAUUGAUCUCUUGUAGGUGUUUGCUUCCGGUGGGGGGUCAUGGUUGCUUGAUAGUGGAGCAACAAAUCAUAUGACCGGGAGCAAGGACUUGGUGGUGAACGUGCAAGAAAUUCCAUCUAUGCCCACCAAUGUCGAGUGGGGUGACGCAUCACAUUCUAAGGUAUUGGGUCUCGGCAAGGUUGUCAUUUCUCAUGAUCUAACGAUCGAGAAAGUCAUGCUUGUUGAGUCCCUUGCAUACAAUUUGCUUUCCGUUCGUCAACUUGCACUCAUGGGUUUUGCUACAUUCUUUGACAUUGAUACCGUGGCCCUCUUGUGGAGCAAGACUCUUAAAGUAGCCUUUGUUGGGCAUGUCGAGAACGGUCUCUAUGUGAUUAACUUUUCGGAGCGACCCACUAAGACCGCGACAUGCCUAAUGGCUAAAGUUGACGUGGGAUGGCUUUGGCAUCGCCGUUUAUCCCACGUCAAUAUGAGAUAUUUGCAAAGUCUUCUCAAGGGGGACCAUGUCCGUGGACUAACAAAUGUUAGUUUUGCCAAAGAUCGUGCUUGCAGUGCUUGUAUCGAAGGAAAGCUUCAUGAAAAGGCUCACCCUCGAUCAACAAUCAUCUACUCGAAGAGACCCUUGGAGCUCCUUCACAUGGAUCUCUUUGGGCCUCCAUCUUUUGAUAGUCUUGGAGGAACAAAGUAUUGCUUGGUGAUUGUGGAUGACUAUUCAAGAUACACUUGGGUAUACUUCUUCAAGGGGAAGAGUGAGACUCAACAAACCGUCAUCGACUUUGCAAAUGAAGCUCAAAGUCAACAUGAUGCAAAGAUCUUGACAAUAAUAAGUGACAACGGCACCGAGUUCAAGAACUACACCUUGGAUGAGUUUCUCAGUGAUGAGGGGAUCAAGCAUCAAUAUGCUGCACCUUAUACCCCUCAACAAAAUGGUUUAGCGGAGAGGAAGAACAGGACGUUGAUGGAUGCGGCAAGGACCAUGAUGGCGGAGUUCAAGUCUCCAUACAACUUUUGGGCCGAAGCCAUCAACACCGCAUGUCAUGCAUCCAAUCGGCUCUAUCUCCGCAAAGGCUUGAACAAGACCCCUUAUGAGAUUCUCACCAGCAACAAGCCCAACCUCAAGUCCUUCCGGGUGUUCGGUUGUAAGUGUUUCAUUCUCAAGAAAGGUGUUCGUUUGUCUAAAUUUGAGGCUAGAGCUCAUGAGGGCAUAUUUGUUGGUUAUGCUACAAACUCUCAUGCUUACCGUGUUCUCAACAAGUCCACCGGACUCAUUGAGGAAACGUGUAACAUGGAGUUUGAUGAAAAUAACGGCUCCCAAGUGGAGCAAAGUGGUACUUGUGACGUAGGUGAUGAAAUUCCUCCCCAAGCCAUAAGAAGAAUGGGUAUUGGUCAAAUUCUACCCAUUGAGGAACCCCUUGUGGCCGAAGGAGAAGGACAAUGCUCCACUCAAGUGGAGCCAUCACCUCACCAAGACCCACACGCUUCCGAAGAACAAAGUGAAGGCCCUCAACCACGUGAACAAGACCAAGGGCAAGAUCAACCUCAAGAUGGUGGUGAACCUCUAAAUGAUGCCCAAGGUCAAGUUCUCCCCCUCGAGCAAGUUCAAGACCAAGAGCAAGCUCAAGAUCAAGAACAAGCUCAAGACGGCGCUCAAGAUGAUCAAGUCAACCCUCCUCCUUCCACAUCCGAGGAGGAUUUAGAGCGUCGUGCCGCGGAGAUUGCUUCCAAGCUCACCACCCAAGGCCAUCUCAUGGAAAAUGUGGUUGGAAGCCUAAGAAAGGGGGUAAGCACUCGUAGACAAUUAGCAAACUAUUGUGAACAUCACGCAUUUGUCUCUUGUGUUGAACCCCAAAAGGUCUAUGAGGCGCUCGAAGACUCGGAUUGGCUCAAUGCCAUGCAUGAAGAACUCAACAACUUCGAGUACAACAAAGUAUGGAGAUUGGUGCCAAGGCCAUCGGGAGACCAUAACGUCAUUGGGACCAAAUGGAUCUUCAAGAACAAGCAAGAUGCUCAUGGGAACAUCGUUUGCAACAAGGCAAGAUUGGUAGCACAAGGCUACUCCCAAGUCGAGGGUAUCGACUACGGUGAAACCUUUGCUCCCGUUGCUCGUCUUCAAUCCAUACGUUUGUUGAUUGCCUAUGCUUCCCAUCACAACUUUAAGUUGCAACAAAUGGAUGUGAAAAGUGCUUUUCUUAAUGGUCCUAUCAAUGAGUUGGUCUAUGUCAAGCAACCCCCCGGGUUCGUGGACCCCUACUUCCCGGAUCAUGUGUAUCAACUCGAUAAGGCACUCUAUGGCCUUAAACAAGCCCCACGUGCGUGGUAUGACCUAUUGGGGAACAUAGUAAUUUCAAAAAAAUUCCUACGUACACGCAAGAUCAUGGUGAUGGCAUAGCAACGAGAGGGGAGAGUGUUGUCCACGUACCCUCGUAGACCAUAAGCGGAAGCGUUAUGAUAACGCGGUUGAUGUAGUCAUACGUCUUCAUGAUCCGACCGAUCCAAGUACCGAACGUACGGCACCUUCGAGUUCAGCACACUUCAGCUCAAUGACGAUCCCCGGGCUCCGAUCCAGCAAAGCUUCGGGGAUGAGUUUCGUCAGCACGACGGUGUGGUGACGAUGAUGAUGCUCUACCGGCGCAGGGCUUCGCCUAAACUCCGCGAUGAUAUGACCAAGGUGGAAUAUGGUGGAGGGGGGGCACCGCACAUAGCUAAGGAACGAUCCGUAGAUCAACUUGUGUUGUUGUGCCUUGAGGUGCCCCCCUGCCCCCGUAUAUAAAGGAGCAAGGGGGGAGGAGGCCGGCCCUAGGAGGGGGCGCGCCAAGGGGAGUCCUACUCCCAUCGGGAGUAGGACUCCCUCCUUCCUUGUUGGAGUAGGAGAAGGGGGAAAGAGGGGGAGAGGAGGAAGGAAAAGGGGGCCGCACCCCUUGUCCAAUUCGGAUCAGAGGGGGGCUGCGCACCUCCUUCCUUUCGGCCUCUUUCCUCUAUUCCCGUAUGGCCAAAUAAGGCCCAUAUACUCCCCGGCGAAUUCCCGUAACUCUCUGGUACUCCGAAAAAUACCCGAAUCACUCGGAACCUUUCCGAACUCCGAAUAUAGUCGUCCAAUAUAUCGAUCUUUACGUCUCGACCAUUUCGAGACUUCUCGUCAUGUCCCUGAUCUCAUCUGGGACUCCUAACUCCUUCGGUACAUCAUAACUCAUAAACUCAUAAUAUAACUGUCAUCGAAACCUUAAGCGUGUGGACCCUACGGGUUCGAGAACUAUGUAGACAUGACCUAGAACUAUUCUCGGUCAAUAACCAAUAGCGGAACCUGGAUGCCCAUAUUGGCUCCUACAUAUUCUAUGAAGAUCUUUAUCGGUCAAACCGCAUAACAACAUACGUUGUUCCCUUUGUCAUCGGUAUGUUACUUGCCCGAGAUUCGAUCGUCGGUAUCCCAAUACCUAGUUCAAUCUCGUUACCGGCAAGUCUCUUUACUCGUUACGUAAUGCAUCAUCCCGCAACUAACUUAUUAGUCACAUUGCUUGCAUGGCUUAUAGUGAUGUGCAUUACCGAGAGGGCCCAGAGAUACCUCUCCGACAAUCGGAGUGACAAAACCUAAUCUCAAAAUACGCCAACCCAACAUGUACCUUUGGAGACACCUGUAGUACUCCUUUAUAAUCACCCAGUUACGUUGUGACAUUUGGUAGCACCCAAAGUGUUCCUCCGGUAAACGGGAGUUGCAUAAUCUCAUAGUUACAGGAACAUGUAUAAGUCAUGAAGAAAGCAAUAGCAACAUACUAAACGAUCAAGUGCUAGGCUAACGGAAUGGGUCAAGUCAAUCACAUCAUUCUCCUAAUGAUGUGAUCCCAUUAAUCAAAUGACAACUCAUGUCUAUGGCUAGGAAACAUAACCAUCUUUGAUCAACGAGCUAGUCAAGUAGAGGCAUACUAGUGACACUCUGUUUGUCUAUGUAUUCACACAAGUAUUAUGUUUCCGGUUAAUACAAUUCUAGCAUGAAUAAUAAACAUUUAUCAGGAUAUAAGGAAAUAAAUAAUAACUUUAUUAUUGCCUCUAGGGCAUAUUUCCUUCAGUCUCCCACUUGCACUAGAGUCAAUAAUCUAGUUCACAUCAUCAUGUGAUUUAACACCAAUAUUCAUAUCUGUAUAUGAUUAACACCCAUAGUUCACAUCGUCAUGUGAUCAACACCCAAAGGGUUUACUAGAGUCAAUAGUCUAGUUCACAUUGCUAUGUGAUUAACACCCAAAGAGUACUAAGGUAUGAUCAUGUUUUGCUCGUGAGAGAAGUUUAGUCAACGGGUCUGUCACAUUCAGAGCCGUAUGUAUUUUGCAAAUAUUCUAUGUCUACAAUGCUCUGCACGGAGCUACUCUAGCUAAUUGCUUCCACUUUCAACAUGUAUCCAGAUUGAGACUUAGAGUCAUCUGGAAUGGUGUAAAAGCUUGCAUCGUUGUAACUUUUACAACGGGCUCUUUUAUCACCUCCAUAAUCGAGAAACAUCUCCUUAGUCCUCACUAAGGAUAUUCUUGACCCAUGUCCAGUGAUCUACUUAUUAGAUCAAAAUUGUAUUCCUUUGCCAAACACAGAGCAAGGUAUACAAUAGGUCUGGUUCACAGCAUAGCAUACUUUAUAGAACCUAUGACUGAGGCAUAGGGAAUGACUUUUCAUUCUCUUUCUAUUUUUCUGCAAUGGUCAGGUCUUGAGUCUUACUCAACUUCACACCUUGUAACACAGGCAAGAACUCCUUCUUUGACUAUUCCAUUUUGAACUAUUUCAAAAAUUUAUCAAGGUAUGUACUCAUUGAAAAAUCUUAUCAAACGUCUUGAUCUAUCUAUAUAGAUCUUGAUGCUCAAUGUGUAAGAAGCUUCACCGAGGUCUUGCUUUGAAAAACUCUUAUUCAAGUAUCCUUUCAUGCUAUCCAGAAUUUCCAUAUCAUUUCCAAUUAACAAUAUGUCAUCCACAUAUAAUAUUAGAAAUGCUACAGAGCUCCCACUCACUUUCUUGUAAAUACAGGCUUCUUCAAAAGUCUGUAUAAAACCAUAUGCUUUGAUCAACUCAUCAAAGCGUAUAUUCCAACUCCGAGAUGCUUGCACCAGUCCAUUGAUGGAUUGCUGGAGCUUGCACACUUUGUUAGCAUCUUUAGGAUUGACAAAAACUUUCUGGUUGCAUCAUAUACAACUCUUCUUUAAUAAAUCCAUUAAGGAAUGCAGUUUUGACAUCCAUUUGCCAGAUUUCAUAAAAUGUGGCAAUUGCUAACAUGAUUCAGACAGACUUAAGCUUCGAUACGAGUGAGAAAAUCUUAUCGUAUUCAACACCUUGAACUUGUUGAAAACAUUUCGCAACAAGUCGAGCUUAGUAAUAGUAACACUACUAUCAAUGUCCGUCUUCCUCUUGAAGAUCCAUUUAUUUAACAUGGCUUGCUGAUCAUCGAGCAAGUCAAUCAAAGUCCAUACUUUGUUCUCAUACAUGGAUCAUAUCUCAGAUUUUAUGGCCUCAAGCCAUUUCGUGGAAUCUGGGCUCAUCAUCGCUUCCUCAUAGUUCGUAGGUUCAUCAUGGUCUAGUAACAUGACUUCCAGAACAGGAUUACCGUACCACUCUGGUGCGGAUCUUACUCUGGAAGACCUACGAGGUUCAGUAGUAACUUAAUCUGAAGUUUCAUGAUCAUCAUCAUUAACUUCCUCACUAAUUGGUGUAGUAGUCACAGGAACAGAUUUCUGUGAUGAACUACUUUCUAAUAAGGGAGCAGGUACAGUUACCUCAUCAAGUUCUACUUUCCUCCCACUCACUUCUUUCGAGAGAAACUCCUUCUCUAGAAAGGAUCUAUUCUUAGCAAUGAAUAACUUGCCUUCCGAUCUGUGAUAGAAGGUGUACCCAAUAGUUAACUUUGGGUAUUCUAUGAAGACGCACUUCUCCGAUUUGGGUUUGAGCUUAUCAGGUUGAAACUUUUUUCAUAUAAGCAUCGCAACUCCAAACUUUAAGAAACGACAGCUUAGGUUUACUGCUAAACCAUAGUUCAUACGGUGUCGUCUCAACGGAUUUAGAUGGUGCCCUUUUAAACGUGAAUGCAGCUGUCUCUAAUGCACAACCCCAAAAUGAUAGUGGUAAAACCGAUAAGAGACAUCAUAGAUCGCACCAUAUCCAAUAAAGUGCGGUUACGACGUUCGGACACACCAUAACGUUGUGGUGUUCCAGGUGGUGUGAGCUGUGAAACUAUUCCACAUUGUUUUAACUGAAGACCAAACUCGUAACUCAAAUAUUCGUCUCCGCGAUCAGAUCGUAGAAACUUUAUUUUCUUGUUACGAUGAUUUUUCCACUUCACUCUGAAAUUCUUUGAACCUUUCAAUUAUUUCAGACUUAUGUUUCAUCAAGUAGAUAUACCCAUAUCUGCUCAAAUCAUUUUGUGAAGGUCAGAAAAUAACGAUACUUGCCACGAGCAUCAACACUCAUUGGAUCGCAUACAUUAGUAUGUAUUAUUUCCAAUAAGUUAGUAGCUUGUUCCAUUGUUCCGGAGAACGGAGUUUUUAGUCAUCUUGCCCAAAAGGCACGGUUCGCAAGCAUCAAAUGAUUCAUAACCAAGUGAUUCCGAAAAUCCAUCUUUAUGGAGUUUCUUCAUGCGUUUUACACCGAUAUGACCCAAACGGCAGUGCCACAAAUAAGUUGCACUAUCAUUAUCAACUUUGCAUCUUUUGGCAUCAAUAUUAUGAAUAUGUGUAUCACUAGGACCGAGAUCCAACAAACUAUUUUCAUUGGGUGUAUGACCAUCAAAGGUUUUAUUCAUUUAAACAGAACAACAAUUAUUCUCUGAUUUUAAAUGAAUAACCGUAUUGCAAUAAACAUGAUCAAAUCAUAUUCAUGCUCAACGCAAACACCAAAUAACAUUUAUUUAGGUUCAACACUAAUCUCGAAAGUAUAGGGAGUGUGCGAUGAUGAUCAUAUCAAUCUUGGAACCACUUCCAACAUACAUCGUCACUUCACCCUCAACUAGUUUCUGUUUAUUCUGUAACUCCUGUUUCGAGUUACUAAUCUUAGCAACCGAACAAGUAUCAAAUACUCAGGGGUUACUAUAAACACUAGUAAGGUACACAUCAAUAACAUGUAUAUCAAAUAUACCCUUGUUCACUUUGCCAUCCUUCUUAUCCACCAAAUAUUCAAGGCAUUUCCGCUUCUAGUGACCAUUUCCUUUGCAGUGUAAGCACUCAGUUUCAGGCUUUGGUUUAGCUUUGGGCUUCUUCAUGGGAGUGACAACUUGCUUGUCAUUCUACUUGAAGUUCCCCUUUCUUUCCCUUUGCCCUUUUUCUCGAAACUAGUGAUCUUGUCAACCAUCAACACUUGAUGCUCUUUCUUGAUUUCUAACUUCGUUGAUUUCAACAUCACGAAGUGCUCGGGAAUCAUUUUUGUCAUCCCUUGCAUACUAUAGUUCAUCACAAAGUUCUACUAACUUGGUGAUGGUGACUAGAGAAUUCUGUCAAUCACUAUCUUAUUUGGAAGAUUAACUCCCACUUGAUUCAAGCGAUUGAAGUACCCAGACAAUCUGAGCACAUGCUCACUAGUUGAGCGAUUCUCCUCCAUCUUUUAGCUAUAGAACUUGUUGGAGACUUCAUAUCUCUCAACUCGGGUAUUUGCUGGAAAUAUUAACUUCAACUCUUGGAACAUCUCAUAUGGUCCAUGACAUUCAAAACGUCUUUGAAGUCCCAAUUCUAAGCCGUUAAGCAUGGUGCACUAAACUAUCAAGUAGUCAUCAUAUUGAGCUAGCCAAACGUUCAUAACGUCUGCAUCUGCUCCUGCAAUAGGUCUGUCACCUAGCGGUGCAUUAAGGACAUAAUUCUUCUCUAACAUCUUUGCAGCAAUGAGGAUAAACCUCAGAUCACGGAUCCAAUCCGCAUCAUUGCUACUAACAUCUUUCAACACAAUUUUUCUCUAGGAACAUAUCAAAAUAAACAUAUGAAAGCAACAACGCAAGCUAUUGAUCUACAACAUAAUUUGCAAAAUACUACCAGGACUAAGUUCAUGAUAAAUUUAAGUUCAAUUAAUCAUAUUACUUAAGAACUCCCACUUAGACAGACAUCUCUCUAGUCAUCUAAGUGAUCACGUGAUCCAAAUCAACUAAACCAUGUCCGAUCAUCACGUGAGAUGGAGUAGUUUCAAUGGUGAACAUCAUUAUGUUGAUCAUAUCUACUAUAUGAUUCACGCUCAACCUUUCGGUCUCCGUGUUCCGAGGCCAUAUCUGUAUAUGCUAGGCUCGUCAAGUUUAACCCGAGUAUUCCGCGUGUGCAACUGUUUUGCACCCGUUGUAUUUGAACGUAGAGCCUAUCACACCCGAUCAUCACGUGGUGUCUCAGCACGAAGAACUUUCGCAAUGGUGCAUACUCAGGGAGAAAACUUCUUGAUAAUUAGUGAGAGAUCAUCUUAAAAUGCUACCGUCAAUCAAAGCAAGAUAAGAUGCAUAAAGGAUAAACAUCACAUGCAAUCAAUAUAAGUGAUAUGAUAUGGCCAUCAUCAUCUUGUGCUUGUGAUCUCCAUCUUCGAAGCACUGUCGUGAUCACCAUCGUCACCAGCGCGACACCUUGAUCUCCAUCGUAGCAUCGUUGUCGUUAUGCCAUCUAUUGCUUCUACGACUAUCGCUACCGCUUAGUGAUAAAGUAAAGCAAUUACAGGGAGUUUGCAUUUCAUACAAUAAAGCGACAACCAUAUGGCUCCUGCCAGUUGCCGAUAACUUCGGUUACAAAACAUGAUCAUCUCAUACAAUAAAAUAUAGCAUCACGUCUUGACCAUAUCACAUCACAACAUGCCCUGCAAAAACAAGUUAGACGUCCUCUACUUUGUUGUUGCAAAUUUUACGUGGCUGCUACGGGCUUAGCAAGAACCGUUCUUACGUACGCAUCAAAACCACAACGAUAGUUCGUCAAGUUAGUGUUGUUUUAACCUUCGCAAGGACCGGGCGUAGCCACACUCGAUUCAGCUAAAUGAGAGAGACAGACACCCGCCAGCCACCUUUAAGCACGAGUGCUCGUAACGGUGAAACCAGUCUCGCGUAAGCGUACGCGUAAUGCCGGUCCGGGCCGCUUCAUCUCACAAUACCGCCGAACCAAAGUAUGACAUACUGGUAUGCAGUAUGACUUGUAUCGCCCACAACUCACUUGUGUUCUACUCGUGCAUAUAACAUCAACGCAUAAAACCUAGGCUCUGAUACCACUAUUAGGGAACGUAGUAAUUUCAAAAAAAUUCCUACGUACACGCAAGAUCAUGGUGAUGGCAUAGCAACGAGAGGGGAGAGUGUUGUCCACGUACCCUCGUAGACCGUAAUCGGAAGCGUUAUGAUAACGCGGUUGAUGUAGUCGUACGUCUUCACGAUUCGACCGAUCCAAGUACCGAACGUACGGCACCUCCGAGUUCAGCACACGUUCAGCUCGAUGACGAUCCCCGGGUUCCGAUCCAGCAAAGCUUCGGGGAUGAGUUCCGUCAGCACGACGGCGUGGUGACGAUAAUGAUGCUCUACCGGCGCAGGGCUUCGCCUAAACUCCGCGACGAUAUAACCGAGGUGGAAUAUGGUGGAGGGGGGCACCGCACACGGCUAAGGAACGAUCCGUAGAUCAACUUGUGUUGUUGUGCCUCGAGGUGCCCCCCUGCCCCCGUAUAUAAAGGAGCAAGGGGGGAGGAGGCCGGCCCUAGGAGGGGGCGCGCCAAGGGGAGUCCUACUCCCAUCGGGAGUAGGACUCCCUCCUUCCUUGUUGGAGUAGGAGAAGGGGGAAAGAGGGGGAGAGGAGGAAGGAAAAGGGGGCCGCACCCCUUGUCCAAUUCGGACCAGAGGGGGGCUGCGCGCCUCCUUCCUUUCGGCCUCUUUCCUCUAUUCCCGUAUGGCCCAAUAAGGCCCAUAUACUCCUCGGCGAAUUCCCAUAACUCUCCGGUACUCCGAAAAAUACCCGAAUCACUCGGAACCUUUCCGAACUCCGAAUAUAGUCAUCCAAUAUAUCGAUCUUUACGUCUCGGCCAUUUCGAGACUCCUCGUCAUGUCCCUGAUCUCAUCCGGGACUCCGAACUCCUUCGGUACAUCAUAACUCAUAAACUCAUAAUAUAACUGUCAUCGAAACCUUAAGCGUGCGGACCCUACGGGUUCGAGAACUAUGUAGACAUGACCUAGAACUAUUCUCGGUCAAUAACCAAUAGCGGAACCUGGAUGCCCAUAUUGGCUCCUACAUAUUCUACGAAGAUCUUUAUCGGUCAAACCGCAUAACAACAUACGUUGUUCCCUUUGUCAUCGGUAUGUUACUUGCCCGAGAUUCGAUCGUCGGUAUCCCAAUACCUAGUUCAAUCUCGUUACCGGCAAGUCUCUUUACUCGUUAUGUAAUGCAUCAUCCCGCAACUAACUUAUUAGUCACAUUGCUUGCAUGGCUUAUAGUGAUGUGCAUUACCGAGAGGGCCCAGAGAUACCUCUCCGAUAAUCGGAGUGACAAAACCUAAUCUCAAAAUACGCCAACCCAACAUGUACCUUUGGAGACACCUGUAGUACUCCUUUAUAAUCACCCAGUUACGUUGUGACGUUUGGUAGCACCCAAAGUGUUCCUCCGGUAAACGGGAGUUGCAUAAUCUCAUAGUUACAGGAACAUGUAUAAGUCAUGAAGAAAGCAAUAGCAACAUACUAAACGAUCAAGUGCUAGGCUAACAGAAUGGGUCAAGUCAAUCACAUCAUUCUCCUAAUGAUGUGAUCCCAUUAAUCAAAUGACAACUCAUGUCUAUGGCUAGAAAACAUAACCAUCUUUGAUCAACAAGCUAGUCAAGUAGAGGCAUACUAGUGACACUCUGUUUGUCUAUGUAUUCACACAAGUAUUAUGUUUCCGGUUAAUACUAUUCUAGCAUGAAUAAUAAACAUUUAUCAUGAUAUAAGGAAAUAAAUAAUAACUUUAUUAUUGCCUCUAGGGCAUAUUUCCUUCAUGACCACCUUACCGAGUUGCUACAAGAUCGUGUAUUUGAAGUAGGACAAAUCGAUCCCACUCUUCUUACUAAGAAGGUCAAAGGGGAGUUGUUUGUAUGCCAACUAUAUGUUGAUGAUAUUAUCUUUGGUUCUCCUAACAAAGCUUUCAAUGAGGAAUUUGCCGCUCUCAUGACCUCCAAGUUCAAGAUGUCUUCGAUGGGAGAGUUGAAGUUCUUCCUUGGUUUUGACAUCAAACAAAGAAGAGAAGGAACCUUCAUCAACCAAGCCAAAUACACUCAAGACAUGCUUAAGAGAUUCAAGCUAAGUGAUGUCAAGCCGGCUACUACUCCAAUGCCCAACAAGUGCCAACUUGACAUCGAUCCCAAUGGUAAAGCGGUGGAUCAAAAGGUAUAUCGCUCCAUGAUUGGCUCCUUGCUUUACCUUUGUGCAUCUAGACCGGAUAUCAUGUUGAGUGUGGGGAUGUGUGCAUGUUUUCAUGCCACACCAAAGGAAAGUCACUAUGUGGCGGUCAAGCGAAUCUUUCAAUAUUUGGCUCAUACCCCAAACUUUGGCUUAUGGUACCCAAGAGGAGAAAACUUCAAGCUUGAAGGUUUCACAGAUUCUGAUUGGGCGGGAGACAAAGUGGAUAGGAAGUCCACUUCCGGAGGGUGCCAAUUUCUUGGUUGCUCUUUGGUAAGUUGGUCUUGCAAGAAGCAAAGUUGUGUGUCUCUCUCGUCUACCGAAGCGGAGUAUGUGGCGGCCGGUAGUUGGUGUGCACAACUCUUAUGGAUGAGGCAAACUUUAAAGGAAUAUGGUGUCAUUUGUGACAAAGUGCCUCUUUGGUGUGACAACGAAAGUGCCAUCAAGAUUUCUCUCAACCCGGUGCAACACUUCAAUAUGAAGCAUAUUGAGAUUCGGUAUCAUUUCAUCCGGGAUAACAUUAGGCGAGGGGAGAUCGAGCUCAAGUAUGUCAACACUCAUGAUAACCUUGCAGAUAUCUUCAUGAAGCCCUUGGAUGAAGCAAGAUUUCGCGAGUUAAGGCAUGAGCUAAAUAUCAUUGAUUCGAGCAAUGUGACUUGAACCCUUGCACCCCCCACCACACUCAUCUUGUUGUCUAGUUUAGAUGUAGGCAUGGACAUAGGGGGGUGUUGUUCUCUCAAUGAACUCUCCCUCCCCCCAUUAUGCAUAAAACGAUCAACUCUUUCACAUUAGCCAUUUUUGAUGGUACUUGUGCUUCAAAGACGAGUCUUGGUCAUGGGCCCAAGGAUAAUUCUUCGCGGUGCCAUACCAAUUGACUCAAACAUAGGUGGCUCCGGCCACCGCCCUCUCUUGGGAGGGGCCAGAGCUCGCUCUUCUUUCGUGUGGUUGUUUUGAAGGAGUGGGUUCCGGAUCUUUGUUAGUGUGUGUGUUGUCUUGUUGGUCUUUUAUUUUCUUGACCUUGCUUUCCCGUUCUUUUCGUUGUGCUUGUGUUUUCGUCUAGAGGCAUUUUUUGGUUGCUGGCGGUACUACCGCUGCUGGCGAGCGGUACUACCGCUCCAAGCGGUACUACCGCCCUCCAGCGCGGUACUACCGCUGUGAGGCGCGGGCAGGGGGUUAUAUUGGGGCAGGGGGAGUUUUCUUCUCCCCCAUACCCAUUCGCUCGCCCCCUCAUUCAGUUCCUCUCUCUCCAGUAACCGGCGCCGUGGGAGGGCUCCGGCGGAUCUCCCUCUCCGGGGCGUCCCUCUCCAUUUCCUUCGGUGGAGACGAUCCCCACCUUGUCCUCUUGCCAUGGAUGCCGGUAUUGCCCCCGUUCCCUGUUUCUUUUUGUCUAGAUUUCCAAUCUAGCGUCUUAGGGGAAAUAGCAGUUGCAUCUCUAGAUUUUUGGCUAGAUCUAGGCUUGAGUAGGAUGGAGAAUGCUUCUAGACAUUGUGGAUUAGUGUUUGGUUGGAGUAUUUUUGAAUUUGGUAGGACGGUAGUACCGGAUCUGAUCACGGCAGUUGGAACCGGCUGAUUCCCGGCCUCGAGCUGUACUACCGCUCCCCGAGAGCGGUACUACCGCCUGGAGCGGUACUACCGCUCGGAGGUCGCGGUACUACCGCCCUCUACCACUUUCCACCAUAUUCCUACCUUUCAGUGAUCUUUUUGUUCGUGUUUUGUGGCUUAUGCUUGGUCUUUCUGGUUGUUUGCGUGUUCAUAUGUGUGGUUCCAGGUGAUGAGGUCCCUGAGCAUCAGGCUCGUCGUGUCAACCCCGGUCGUGCCACAUCCAAGCGCUACCGCACCACCGAGCCUGCCGGAGGUUCUUCAAGUGCUCCACCUCCACCUCAACUCCAGAACAAGCCUGGGGUCAAGCCAAAGCCAGGAAAAACCGUGCCAGACAUGCAGCCAAAGGAGUUCUGGGCAAGGCGCCGCCACAAGCCAUAUGAGGCUGACCAAGAUCCCACUUUGGUCAACUGUCCGUUCUGGAACAGGUUCCAGUUUGCCAUCUUCUUCGAUGUUCUCAAAGCCAAGAAGAACCUCUAUGUCAAUGUGCACUCCAUCGACACCGACCAUAUGGAGCAAGAUCCUGAAUACUUUGGUGAAGCUCUUCACAUGUGCACUCAACUGAACAUUCUUGGGAUCAUGAAAUUCAACAAGGACUAUGAUGCUGAUAUUGUGGCCCAAUUCUAUGCCACGGUUCACCUUGGGACUGAUGAGGAUAGGACACUGACCUGGAUGACCAAUGGCAAGUUGCUUUCAGUCAAGUGGAAAGCAUUCAUGGAGUUGGUUGGGGUGCAAGAUCUAGGUCUUGAGUCUUCUGUCGGCUUUCGCCCUCACGGCCGCCCCAAUGCCACUCACAAGCAAGCUCUCUGGCCCUACUGCACUUUGAAGAUCAACCAUGAGACAAAGAAGGAAACCUAUGAGCUGCCUGCCUAUCUGGAUAUUCUUCACCGCAUCUUCAGAGAGACUCUCUUCCCUCGUAUCGGGAAUCUGGACCAGGUUCACUCCUAUCUCGUGGGCAUGCUUCUUUUCUGCCAGCAUGAGAAGGGACAGCACACCGGAGAGUCCUUGGAUAUCUCUCAUGUUAUAUGGUCUGAGCUGCUAUCUGCUAUUUCCGAGCGCAAGUGCCCGAUUUAUGGUUCGUUCAUCAUGCUGCUCAUUGAGAAGGCCUGGGAUCAUGUCUACCCCAAGGUGCCACUGGAGACUGGAGAGUUGAUCUCUCACGAUGUCAAGCGUCUGAGGAAGAAGGAUAACUGGGGCACUCAGGCCCCUAGGACUGGAGUUCCUUCAUCUUCUACUGCCAUGGAGACCGAGGAGGAGACUGGAGCUGAUGAUGAUGAUGAUGAUGAUGACUACAUGCCUUCUGAGGCAGAGCUCUCCUAGGCAAAGAAGCUUAAGUCUAAGAUGAAGAAGUUGUUCUGCAUGGAGGCUCAUGGUCAGUACAUGACUCAUGUGGCUGAGAAGAAGGCUAGAGGUCGCCACAAGGAGCUCAUGCGUCAGUUGGGUGCUACAGUCAACAGUGGAUCUGAGGACCAGCUUACUGAGGAGGAGGAGUGGAUUCAGCAGCACUGCCCGUGGACCGAUUCUGAUGCAGAGCACUUCCAGACUGACGACGGUGGCGCAGAUGAUCCCGCUGGGCUCUGAUGUGUGUGUCCCUCGUUUGCUCUCACUUGGAGCCGUAGCAACACUCCCUCUCCUUUUUGGUGUCUCGAUGACAAAGGGGGAGAGAGUUUUAGGGAUUUGCGAUUUGUGUCUUUCGUCUUUGUGUUCGUGUUUUCCUCGUAUUUGCUUUGGUUGGUUUGUCUGUGAGACCUAAGUUUGAGUCAUAUGGUGUGAGACAUAUGCUACCUUAUCUUUCCAGUAUUAUUAAUCUAUGUCACUUAUCUAGCUUGAGUUGCUUGUUUAUCUUGUUAAAUCAUCUAUGCUGCUCUCAUAUACCUUGCUUAGAUUGUUGGUCUCUAAAAUGUAGGGGGAGCGUUGAUCCUAGUAUGUGUGCCGUGCAGUCCAAAGCACUUAUCUAGAUAGCACACAUCUAGGGGGAGCCCAUCUACAUUUUAGGACGGUGGGGUUUGUACGCUUACUCUAUAUCAUGCUUGUGCAAAUCCCGUAUUGUCAUCAGUCCACCAAAAAGGGGGAGAUUGUAAGGGCAUAUUUAUCCCCAAGUGGUUUUGGUGAUUGAUGACAAUGCUUUUGCGGACUAAUCGUGUGUGUUAAGUUCUUUCAGAGAUUCAUCCAUUGGCACGAGACGAUUUCCUCCCCUCGGUGUUUUAUUCAAGACAGUGUAGCUCCUUCGCUUCAUUGUUGGUGGACUAGUUUCGUAGGAGUCACCAUACUAUCAAGAGGGGAUCCGCUUUGGUAAGACUAGGGUGGAAUCAACACGUACACAUCCCUUUCACACCCAUCGUCUUCCUUUCGCACCUUUGGAGCUGCCCCCUUCUCUUCCGUACCUGCUUCGUCUUGUGCCAGCGGUAGUACCGCGGUCUACAGUGGUAGUACCGCCGAAGCCCUCCAGCGGUAGUACCGCUCCACGAAGCGGUAGUACCGCUCUCAGCGGUAGUACCGCUCCGCAGGGCGGUAGUACCGCUUGCGGGCUUCGGCCGUAGUACCGCAGCUGUUCCGCACUACUACCGCCUCGAUUCGAGACUGGUGUUUUCUUGUGUCGGGUUUUGCGGCACUAGAAGCGGUAGUACCGCUCCAAGCGGUAGUACCGCUCCUACUCCCGGGUAGUACCGCUCUGGGGCCAGUGGCCUGUCUUCCUCGCCAGCGCGGUAGUACCGCUGAGUAGGGAGCGAUAGUACCGCUCUCAGCGGUAGUACCGCUCUCAGCGGUAGUACCGCCCUGCCCCAGCGGUAGUACCGCUCUGUGCGGGGAUGUACAGUGAGGUAACGGUUGGAAUUGUUUCCCCACUAUAUAAAGGUGUCUUCUUCCUCCAAGUUGACUUACCUCUUUCCCCCAAAGCUCCAUUGUUGCUCCAAGCUCCAUUUUCACCCGAUCUCUCUCCCUAGCCAAUCAAACUUGUUGAUUUGCUCGGGAUUGGUUGAGAAGGCCCAGAUCUACACUUCCACCAAGAGAAAUUUGAUCCCGCUCACUUAUCCCGAGCGGAUCUUGUUACUCUUGGGUGUUGAGCACCCUAGACGGUUGAGGUCACCUCGAAGCCAUACUCCAUUGUGGUGAAGCUUCGUGGUGUUGUUGGGAGCCUCCAAUUGUUGUGGAGAUUGCCCCAACCUUGUUUGUAAAGGUUCGGUCACCGCCUUCAAGGGCACCAAUAGUGGAAUCACGGCAUCUUGCAUUGUGUGAGGGCGUGAGGAGAAUACGGUGGCCCUAGUGGCUUCUUGGGGAGCAUUGUGCCUCCACACCGCUCUAAUGGAGACAUACUUCCCCUUAAAAGGAAGGAACUCCGGUAACACAUCCUCGUCUCCACCGGCUCCACUCUUGGUUAUUUCGUGCAUUUACUUUUGCAAGCCUACUUGUUUUACAUCCUUUGCUUGCUUGUGUGCUAGUUGUUAUUGCAUCAUAUAGGUUGCUCACUUAGUUGCACAUCUAGACAACCUUUUUGUUGCAAAGUUUAAUUUGGUAAAGAAAAGCUUAAAAAUUGUUAGUUGCCUAUUCACCCCCCCCCCCUCUAGUCAACCAUAUCGAUCCUUUCAACCGUCCUGAAGACAGUCUUCUACUCUUUGAUGGUUACCGGAGACCGUUAUCACGCCUCUGGGGCCAGGCAUCUUCAUCUUGAGGUACACAUAACACGGUCGAGCCAUGAAGCUAGCAUAGGCAGGUCUGCCCAAAAUGGCAUGAUAGGCACUCUAGAAAUCCACAACCUCAAACAUCAACUUUUCCUUGCGGGAAUUCUUCUCAUCACCGAAAACCGUGUCAAGAGUGAUCUGGCCGAGUGAGUCGGCUUUCUUUCCUGGGAUGACUCCAUGGAAUCGCAUGUUGCUCUCACUGAGUUUGGACAUCGGAAUGCCCAUUCCUUUGAGGGCCUCAGUGUAUAGGAUAUUCAGACCACUGCCACCAUCCAUCAAAACCUUGGUCAGUCGGGUGCCCCCAACGACUUGGUCGACCACCAGCGCUUGCCGCCCAGGGGUAGCAACGUGUGGCGGGUGGUCGGACUGAUCGAAUGUAAUAGGAGUUUUUGACCAUUUCAAAUACUUUGGUGUUGCCGGAGCAACCAUGUUCACCUCUCUGUUAAUGACCUUCAGUCGACUUUUCCUCUCGAGAUCAGCAAAAAUCACCAAGGUGGGAUUGACAUUGGGGUAACCACCAUCAUCAUCUUUGUCUUCCUCCUUAUCGGACUCUUUGUCCUUUUCACUGGGUUGGCUUUCUCGAAAGCUCUGGAUUAGGAGUCUAUAUUGUUGAGUCGUAUGCUUGGGGAGAAUCAGGUUCCCCUCCUCAUCCUUCUUGGUGUGAAUAUGACACAGCAAAUCCAUCUCAUCAUUUCCUGCUUGGUCCUUCACUUUCUUAGGGAUCCAAGGCCCUUUGGGCUUCCCCUUGAACUUUCCUUGAUUCAACACUGCUGCCUCGGCAAGACCUGCUGCCUUAGCCUUUCGCUUCUGCUUCCGACUGGAAUUUCCUCCUCCGGUGUCCUGGGCAACUGGUCUAUUCUUACCACUCCGGAGUCGGUCUUCUUCUUAGCCAUUAGCGUACUUGGUGGCAAUCUCCAUCAUUCGAGUCAGGGACAUAUCUCCGGUCCGACCGAACUUCAGAUUGAGCUCUCUAUAGCGAACGCCCUCCUUAAAGGCACAGACUGCUUGAUGAUCUGACACAUUCUCCACUGUAUGGUACAGAGUGAUCCAUCUCUGGAUAUAAUCUCUCAAGGUUUCAUUCGGUUUUUGCACGCAAUGCUGCAACUCUAGUAGACUAGCAGGUCUUUUGCAGGUGCCCUCAAAUGUUCUGGUAAACACUCGGGCCAACUCAUCCCCAACUCGAAAUGCUCCGAGGGGCCAGCUGAUUCAGCCAGGCCCUGGCAGAACCUUCAAGCAUCAGAGGGAGGUGCUUCAUGGCCACCUCAUCGCUGCCACCACCAAUGUGCACAGCCACUUGGUAGUUUUCAAGCCAAGUGUCGGGCAUUGAUUCUCCUAUGAACUUACUGAUGCCAGUCGCCAAUCUGAAGUUAUGAGGGAUUUCAGCGGCUCUAAUGGCUCUUCCAAAACACUCUGGGCCGGAAAUGUGGACCCUACUUCCACUGGGCCUGUCUCUAUCCAGCCCUUCUAUGUAUGCUCUGUUUCGGUCGACCAAACCCUGCACAAGGACUGACCUUGCGUCGAAGCCAGGCUCUCUGGAGUCGACUGGAACUCUGCGGUCAUUUCCAUAUGGACGCCUAUCAUCAUACCAUCGGGGCGCGUAUGACCCGUCCCUCGGAAGGGGCGAAGGCGCUCGGCGGUGGUUGUCGCGGGCGUACUCACGAUCAUACUCUCCAUGAGCUCUUCCCAGGUGCCGAUCUUGGUGGUGAUCACGAUCUCCAUGCCGCAAAGGCGACCUAGGAUUGUGUGCCGAUUGAACGGUGCCUGUCCUUACCGAUCUGCUGUGGAUUCUGUUCUGCGACUGGGACACGGCGGAGUUCUGGUCUCCCGCUGCUCGGAGUAGCGCCCUGAUCUGUUAAGCCUCUUCCAGCCUCUGAAUGGGACGACUAAAUGGACUCUACGAUACGCGCAGCAGCUGCAAGAUUCUGAAUCGGUGUGUAGAAUACCUGAGUUUCUGGUGGAAACAACUAUCAUGGACGUCCACUAGACUCGGGGAUCAGUCGAUGGGCACGCUCAUCGAGAGAAUGUUGGUGAUUCUCCAAACGAGUGCGCUCAGCCAGCGUGGCCAGGUGCACUGCUUCCAAGGCACGAGCCUCGACGGUUUCCCCUAUGAUGGGGGUCUAGAGAGCCUCCACGUUGUGGCGGUGCAUCUCCUCCCUCUGCUGCGAGCUGAGGGGUUGGGGCUGAUACUCCUCAUGGCCGAAUGACGGGCCGUCGCCGCCACCAUUGCCAGCACUGCGACAAAAACCAGGUGGGCUGCGAUGGGAGUCGACCAUGAGGACUUCCACCGCGGGGUCACAACUCCCGCUCUCAAAAAAGGUGUCUGCGAAAUCAGUCGACGGGUCGACUAAACCGCAGAGAAAUGCCUCGGGCUCGAUCGCCAUGACUUGGGGGUGAACGCCUGAUGAGCCACCGCAUGCUUCACCCACCACUGGAGCCGCGAUCGACCAGACCGCUUGCGGCGGCGUCCAGCCGAGUGAGACGAUAGCACGAGGACCGACUGAUACGGGGUCGACGGCUGCCGAAGGAGGACACUGUAGGCACUCGCGCGGAAGUGCGGCGAACCACGGAUCAGGAGAGCCUCGACGUCGAGGGGGCCUCCUGGAGCCAGGCGGAGUCGUCGGCGACGAAAGUGAGCGCGCUGAGUCGGAACUCGUGGCCCAUGACCAAACCGCCGCCGAAAACCAUGUUGAUGAAGAUCGAAGAAAAUGCAACUUCGCCGGAAGUCGCUAAGACGCUUUGCCCCAAGGUAGGCGCCAACUGUCGUGGUACUAAGUCUAACAGUAAGAAUAGGGGGUACGUAUGAGGAGGCAAGGUCCUAGCUACGGCGAGAUUGUACGCAAGAGUUUAAGAGUUGGGGGCCCUCUCGAAGGAGGGUAAAAGCCCUACAUCUCGGUGCCCUGAGGCGGUCGACUGGAAUAUGGGAGUGUGUGUUACAGGGGGUGCAAACCCUUGUCCCAGAGGAGGGGGUGGCUUAUAUAGAGUGCGCCAGGACCCAGCUCCCCUCCAUUACAGGGGUUCAAUGUACAUAAAGAUAGGGCGUUACUGAUAACGCCAGCUAUAAAGUGUAUUUAAUGACCUUUAAGACUACGGAGUGAACGUCUGACCGUUGCCGUCCUAAGUGACUCCUGGUCUUCUGUAGGUCGAGUGGUUUCUCGUAUAGUCGAAUGGCUUCGUCUUGGUCGAGUGAUACCAGGAGGGAGGGGUACCCGAGUGAUAUGACUGGUCGAGUGGAUUGCACUCGACGACUUCAAUUGAUACUCUCUGUUGUCCCUUGAAUGUCUUUACUUCUAGGGUAGUGACCUUGGGUAGGGUGUAUAGGUCAGGCCUAUGACCCUACCCUAGGUCUAUGUCAUCAUCCGCGCCCCCUUGGGGUGCGCCGUUUGAGCUUGUGGCCCUCUCAUAGAUCUUCUGCCUCCUCCCGAAGCUUCUAGGGUCCCUUCUGGUCCAUAAAAAAUCACGCUAAAGUUUAUCGUGUUUGGACCCCGUUUGGUGUUAAUUUUCUAGAAAAAACAUGUAGAAAACAGGAACUGGCACUGGGCACUGAGUUAAUAGAUUAGUUCCCAAAAAUGAUAUAAAAUUGCAUAUAGCGCCUACAAGGUUGAUAAUAUAAUAGCAUGAAACAAUCAAAAAUUAUAGACACGUUGGGACGUAUCAGCCCACCACGCACACCACACACAUCCUUAUCUCUAGCACCGCUUUUAUCUCAUCCAGCGCCCGUCCUCUCGCUCGCGCAUCGCCUGCCACGUCUCUUGCUCACGUCGUCGGAUCCUAGCUCUUGCAAGCCCCACCACCAUCGAACUUCCCUCUCCUCCUAUUUCUUCCUCUCCAACGAAUCCCCACCCCCCUGUUUUGCCCUCAUAGCUCCAUGUGCCGGCCUCCGCUAGCUCCCCGACGCCCCCUCUCGCCUAGUGAUGAACCACGGACGGCGGAUGGUGGAGCUACUACCAGCCACACCAGGAGCUGCAAACGGCGGACAGAGGAGCUACAACUUGCCAGCCAGGAGGUACACCCAGAGGAUGGAGGAGCUAUCACCGGACACGUUGGGAGCUGCAACCGGCGGACAGAGGAGCUACAAGCUGGGAACUACGACUGACGUACACACGUGCUAGAACCAGCACACAUGGGUGCUGCCACCGAUGCGCGACCGUGUUGUAGCCAGGCAUCUCCAGUGCUGGAACCAGCAGGCCCCGUGCUGGAAUCGGUGCGCGGCCCCAUGCUGGAACCAGGACAUGGGAAUGCUGGAUCCAGCCAUCUCCGAUGCUGGAACAAACCAUCCCGCUACUGGAACCAGCGCGCCCUGUGCUGGAAUCGGUGUGCGACACCGUGCUGGAACCAUGCUAUCGGAAUGCUGAGUCCAACCAUCUCCGUUGAUGAACCAACCAUCACCGGUGCUGGAACCAGUCGACGACCGGAUGGUGCUACCACGUCGACAUGCUAUAUCGGCGACUUACUGUGAAAGCUUAAAUCGGUGGCCCGUUUUGCUGGGACCGGCAUCACAAUUUGCUACGUGGGGUAGAGCAAUGGCCGGCGACGACGACGCUACCACGGCUGAACGACGUUGCUGAAAAACUUUCUACAGUGGCCUGUUUUUGUUGUAAUUGACGCGGAAUUUGUUACCCGCGGCGUCGGCGAGCAUCGACAACAAGGCAUCGACCGUCUGUGACAAGGCAAGCCAGGGUAGGGCGAUUAGACAAGCUGUUGGCUGGCGUCUGCAUGCGGGAGGGCAUUCGUCAUGGAUUUUUUCAGAGAACGGAGUGAAAGUGGUGUGAAGGUGGGAAAGGAUAAGUGGGGAGAAGUGUUAGGCCUAGUUCAAUCUCAUGGAUGCAAGCGUAUGAGCAUAGUUUUCUGUUUAAACAAUAAUGUUGUGCAUGGUCGGGAUGUGACCUGCGCAUGCACGUAGUUGGAGGCUGCCCCUAACUCUUUCCGUUUUCCUCUCCCGGUCGUUGCCGUUCGCUUGUGAUCCAGUCGCUGGAUGAGGCGACAGAUACGAAUCAAGGCAGCCCGCCGGGAGGUAGUUCGCACUCGGAUGUAAUCCUAUUAAGCUAAGGAAUAACAUAAAAUAGAAGGUUGCGACGGUUGGCAGCGAAAACUCUCUCUCUCUCUUUCGAACACUCUCUCUCUCUAACAACAACAAGAAGCGGCUAGUAUUUCACGAAUCGAACAAUGCGUGGUCCGACCGGCUAAAAUUUCAGCCGGUCGACCGACGCCUAUCACUCACCUAGAGAGAUCCAACUCCGGAAAAUGCUCUGGCACGUACAUUCUCAAGAUCACUGCGUGCUUGUCGAAAGGUAACUUUCCGGACACAAACCCAAAGUCCCUUGAAAAAGACCAAACAUCCACACUGAUAUCAGCUUGACGCACGCAAACCUGCCCAUUUGAAGAGAGUCAAGUCAAAAUAUACAAGUGUACCCAAAACUAAAUGAAUAAACGUAUUCAUGUUUUUGCCUAAGCAAUACCCAUAACUAAAGAGCACUGAACCUGUUCAUGCUUUUGCCUAACUAAGCAAUUUCCACACCUCGUCACAUGUAGUACUGUCAAACCUAUUUAUUGCCACCCAUAUCCAUUUCUCACCUCCCACACCUUGCAGCAUUCACUCACUCACUCAACUCUCUCUCUCUCUCUCUCUCUCUCUCUCUCAGGCAACAGCAUGCACCCGGACACCUCCGUAGCUGCGGUGGUCUGUGCGGCUGCUGUGCUGCUCAUCAGCAAUGGCUACCUCUCCAUGGCCAUGGUGGAGGACAAGAUCACAGCACUGCCGGGGCAGCCACCGGUGAGCUUCGCGCAAUACUCCGGAUACGUGGAGGUGGACGCCGCGAGGAAGAGGUCGCUCUUCUACUACUUCGCUGAGGCAGAGCUAGAUCCGGCCACCAAGCCCCUCGUCCUCUGGCUAAAUGGAGGUAAAUUUAGUGGCUGCCACAAGCUUCCCACUGUUUCGUCUUAUUGCAUUAUUGGUAUUGGGGACAUCACAGGAGAAGGAACAGUGUGAAAAGGCCAGAGCCAGAGGGGAAAGGAAAUUAACAAAUGUUGAGAGAGAGAGAGAGAGAGAGAGAGAGAGAGAGAGUAGAUUUUCUGUGCAAAUGCGCCUACAGCAGACUUUUACUUGGAUCAUACAUUAAAAAGAUACUUUUCCUAAUUGGAUUCUUGAAAGAAGAUAUACGAAGUGUCCCAACUGUUGAUGGAAGGGGACUUUUUACCUUUAAAUUUUGAUGUCCUUGCAGUAAAAUGUGUUUUUUUAGGAGUAGGACUGACUGCAUAAUCUAAUGNNNNNNNNNNNNNNNNNNNNNNNNNNNNNNNNNNNNNNNNNNNNNNNNNNNNNNNNNNNNNNNNNNNNNNNNNNNNNNNNNNNNNNNNNNNNNNNNNNNNNNNNNNNNNNNNNNNNNNNNNNNNNNNNNNNNNNNNNNNNNNNNNNNNNNNNNNNNNNNNNNNNNNNNNNNNNNNNNNNNNNNNNNNNNNNNNNNNNNNNNNNNNNNNNNNNNNNNNNNNNNNNNNNNNNNNNNNNNNNNNNNNNNNNNNNNNNNNNNNNNNNNNNNNNNNNNNNNNNNNNNNNNNNNNNNNNNNNNNNNNNNNNNNNNNNNNNNNNNNNNNNNNNNNNNNNNNNNNNNNNNNNNNNNNCUGAUUUAUUACUACCAAGAUUCCUUUGUCUCUCUAUGAUAGGAUAGGAGUUCUGAUGAUGUCUAUGCAUGUGUGUUUUGUGUAGGACCCGGAUGUUCAUCUGUGGGGGUGGGAGCAUUCUCAGAGAAUGGGCCAUUCAGGCCCAGUGACAAUGCCCUUGUGAGCAAUGAGUAUAGCUGGAACAAAGGUGGGCAUUUUGUCUCUUGUAAAAGUUGCAUCCACAAAAGCAACCUCUAGGUGCCUUUGAUUGGUCCUCUUUUUGUUGGUCCUCUUUUCCUUGGUGCAAGAAAAUAGAAAGCUCACAGGAAUUUUUACCACAACUGAAUUUCUCUUCUUGGUCUGUUGGCUUGUUUCAGAGGCCAACAUGCUCUAUCUGGAGAGCCCUGCAGGGGUGGGCUUCUCCUACUCCACUGAUCCUUCAUUCUAUGGGGGUGUUGGUGACAGCAUGACAGGUGUGAUCUCCAUGCUUGAAAAGUUUUGUAUCAGUAUUAUUUUCUGUGUAGGAUUAACCUGCACGAUUAUUCCUUUUUGAGUGGUUUAAUUUUAUUUUUCCAUAAAAUUUUGAAGCCAGGGACAAUUUAAGGUUCUUGGAAGUCUGGUUUGCCAAGUUCCCACAGUACAAGGGCAGGGACUUGUACAUCGCAGGAGAGAGCUAUGCUGGUAAAGCCAUUCUGCUUCUUCACCUCGUUGUUCAAUUCUGAAUUCAUCCCUUGGUGUUCUAACUACAAUGAUGAUCAUUUUUAAGGCCACUAUGUUCCGCAACUAGCGCAGCGCAUGGUUGAAUUCGACGACAAGGAGAAGCUGUUCAAUCUGAAAGGCAUUGCUGUAAGUAUCCCAUUUACAAAGCUUACCAAAAAUAUGUUUACAAAAACUUGGUGAAUUUAUAGUGUACAUUGCUCUCUCUUUCCCUCAUUGAUCCAACAGUUGGGCAAUCCUGUCCUCGAAUUCUCAACUGACUUCAACUCAAGAGCCGAGUUCUUCUGGUCACACGGGCUGAUAUCGGACUCAACUUACAACAUCUUCACGACGGUUUGCAACUAUUCGCGGUAUGUGAGCGAGUAUUACCAAGGCUCCAUCAGCACGGUGUGCGACAGGGUGAUGAGCCAAGUGACGAGAGAGACGAGCAGAUUCGUGGACAAGUACGAUGUCACCCUGGACGUCUGCAUUUCUUCGGUGUUGAUGCAGUCCCAAGUGCUCACCCCAAGCCCAAAUGUAUCGUUCUUCAGCAUUAUCUCUGCUAAGGAGAUGUAUGUAACCCUGUCACUGACGGACAAUUUUUUGCAGUCUACCGAGCAAUUGAACAGGGCGCUCGACGUGUGCGUCGAGGACGAGACGAUGAACUACCUCAACCGAAAAGAUGUGCAAAAGGCAAUGCACGCUCAGCUCAACGGCGUGCCCAAGUGGACGGUCUGCAGCAGGUGUGGAUUUGCCCAUCUGUUAGAGCAUCUAUCUGUAUCUACUAGGAGUAUUAUAGUUGCAUUUCCUUCAGCAAGGUUGCGAUUUCACCGAGUGUUUUGCCCAAUCCAGUGUUCUUGAGUACAAACAGCUGGACCUACAGAUCCCGACCAUUAACAUCGUCGGCGCGCUCGUCAAGUCUGGCAUCCCAGUGCUAGUUUACAGGUAAAGAACUCGCCACAGCAAGCAUGUCAGUUUAGAACGUGGCCUGAUGGCUGUGCUCGUGGGUGUUUCUCCGCAGCGGUGAUCAGGACUCGGUGAUCCCCCUGACGGGCAGCAGGACGCUGGUGCACCGCCUGGCCAAGAGGCUCCGGCUGAACGCAACGGUGCCGUACCGGGUCUGGUUCCAAGGGAAGCAGGUGAGCUCCGGUCCAUCUCCAUCCUACAGUACAAUACUGGCCGUCGUUAUCGUCAGCUCAGCUCCACUCCUGUCAAGCUCAAGCCAUGGUGGGUGGUGAAACUGAAACUGAAGCGUUCUUCUCGUCUCAUCUUCUCCCGGACGUGCAGGUUGGUGGAUGGACGCAGGUGUUCGGCGACGCGCUGUCCUUCGCGACCAUCCGGGGCGCGUCGCACGAGGCGCCCUUCUCGCAGCCGGAGAGGUCCCUCGUGCUCUUCAGGGCGUUCCUCGCCAGCCGGCCGCUGCCGGAAUCGUUCGAGUGACCUGACCUCAACUCAAGAGACAGUUCGUGUUCUUGUACUACUAUCUAGGAGUAGUAGCUAAGAGUGCAUGCGUCAAUCACCUUUCAAGGUUGGAAAUCUAAUCAAAAAGGUCUUCGCAAGUGUAAUCAGUUACUCCCCCAUUUCACUAUUAUAAGAAGUUUUGAAUAUUUCGAUAUACAUUAAAUACAGACUGAAAUAAGUGAACAAACACUCUAAAACACGUCUACCUACAUUCAAUUCAAAUAAUAAUAAUUAAUCAUACAUCUUAUAACAGUGAACGGAGAGAAUAUAUCGCAAGGCGUGGAGGUGCACUGGAAAUGUAUGGGAAUUUCGAAAAUUUACUAAGUUGUUACCUUUGGUUUGUCGUACCGGGAAAAAAGUACCCCCGCUGUCCAAAAUUAAUCAUAUCUAGACAGAUGUAAGCUAAGUAAUUCGGGACGGAAGUAACAUAUGAAAAUGAAAUUGUAACGCGCAACUAAAAUUUACUAGGAGCAUGUUUUGCUGUGUACAAUCAAAUACGUACGUGUAGAUUCAUGUUGCCAAAAAAAACAUAUGCAAGGCAUGACUCUGACUAAGAUUAUCUACAAGGCACUCUUUUACCCAAAACAUGUUAUGUCAUUCGUGUUUGGACUAGAAAAUUUAUAGUCGUUCUUGCCGAAUUCUGAAACCUCCUCUAGAUCAGAUGACAUAUACGGACUACGACGCCUGCUCUGCUCCACCGUCUCCCCCACCGCCUGCACCCGCUGACGAUACAACCCCGUUUGACAUGUCUUUGCAGCCCGUCCACAUGGAGCAGGUCGAGCUACUCUGCUCUUAGGGCAUGUACAAUACAUAGCCUCAUGGUGAUGCCCUGUGUGCCAUGUAGUAUCGGAUGUCAGAAAAAGUAGGUUCGGAUAGGAAGCAGGAUCCUCUGCAAGAAGUGGUUGCUUGGAAAGAAAAUAUGUGGUCCGGUGUAAAAAGCUGAAAAUGUUGAAGUGAAGAGUAGGGAUGCAUAUGUAGUAAGGGUCUACUUCUUAUUAUAUAAUGAGGUCCACUAGUAGUACCUUGAGUUGGAGAGAAAAAAUCAAUAUAGAUGCCUGAAGCUACUUUUUUGUCAUGAGGCAUAUGUAUCCACUAUGCCAUCAUUGUAAAUCAUGGCUUGUGUGUUGCAGAUCAUGUCCAAGUUGCAUGGGCUAUGUGGGGAGCCCACUUUGUAUCUGGUGCUUCCGGAGGUGGGCUCACUUGUGGCCUUAGCGGUGGCCACGACGCCCUCUCGACCACCACUAGAGCAUCUCUAGCGGACCCCUUAUAUCGCGGACCCUUUACAGUUCACGGAAAACAUGUUUUGCAUGCUGGCGCAGGCUGCGGCUGAAUAGGCCCUGCAUAGCGGAACUGUAAAAGAGAAUAAUAUUCUGUUUUACAGUUCCGAUUAUUCUCUUUUACAGUUCCGCUAUGCGGGGCUGUUCGGCCGCUGCCCGCGCCAGUCCCAAAACACGUUUUUUUUUUUUUGAAUUUGACACAUAUCUCAUAUAUUACAAAGAAUUAUGAAUUCAGUAUAACAUAAAAUGUGAAUAUUAUGCAUCCAAAUUACAAUAAUUAUUCAAAUCACCGAAUUAAACUAAUAAUUCAAUACAACAGUUAUCCUGAAUACAACAAUGAUAACGAUCACACAUUAAUCAAAUGAAAUGAAUGUAAAAUUGGCCGGUGCUUUUGCCAAUGGUGCUCAAUGCCUUUGCCAAUGGUGCUCAAUGAGAUCCUCCUCAAGCUGAUGGUGGGUGUUUGCGUCUUCAAUCUGCCGGUAUGUCUAAAGGAAUGCUUGUAUGCGGUCAGGGUCUCUAGCUAGCUUCACGCGGCUACCAACAUUGUCAUAGAAGAACUCCAAGUUCAUGUCCCUCUCAUCUUCGAUGAUCAUGUUGUGAAGAAUCACACAACAUGUCAUGAUGUUGUUAGGGGUUUGCUUGUCCCAAAAACGAGCAGGACCACGAACAAUGGCAAAUCUAGAUUGCAAAACCCCAAAGGCUCUUUCAAUCUCUUUUCGGGCAGCCUCUUGUACCUUUGCAAAUUCAAUAUGCUUCCUAGUUUUGGACUUUUUAUGCUCUUGAUAAAUGUAUACCAAGAAGGAUAGAUACCAUCUACAAGAUAGUACCUCUUUGUGUGUUCAUGUCCAUUCACCAUGAAGUUGCAAGCAGGAGCAUCACCACUGGCAAGUCUAGCAAACAAAUGAGACCGUUGCAACACAUUGAUAUAAUUGAGAGUACCCGGCAUAUACCAAAAAAAAUGUUAAAUCCAUAAAUCCUCGGAUGCUACGGCCUCUAGCACAAUUGUUGCAUCACGAGACUUGCCACAAUAUUGCCCGUGCCAUGCCUUCGAGCAGUUUUUCCAAGUCAAAUGCAUGCAAUCAACGCUUCCAAGCAUAUUGGGCCAACCUCGCUUCUCAUUUGCUGCCAUCAACUUUUAGUGUCUUCCUCGUUGAGUGCACGAAGAUAGACAGGACCAGAGACGCGGGUGAUCAUUUUGGCAAACCUACGCACUGACUCAAUUGUAGUAUCUUUGCCAAUGCGAAGAUACUCGUCAGCAUAAUCAGCCGGAAUGCCAUAUGCAAUCACUCGCAUAGCUACCGAGAUUUUUUGAUAUGCGCUAAAACCCAACAAGCCCGCGGCGUUUCUCCUUUGAGUAAAAGACCGAGAAUUGGCCUCGCAAGAUUGCACUAUUUUUACGAAGAGGGAUCGGCGCAUUAGAUACCUUCUCCGGAAGAGGUGCGGCGGAUAGGUAGGAUUGUACGCGAAGUAGUCUUGCAUCAACAUCGUGUUUCCGAGGUGGUGGUCACGAGGGAUGCAAAGACGACCGACGGUCGAUCCUCGCCGUCUCUUGCGGUUCCGAUCCUCGGCCUCCUUCAUGGCUAGGACCGGCCCCACCAUCUGUUGCCGAUGGCGCUCGAGCAUCGACUCUAUGCCCGAGUCAUCGGACGAGGACGAAUCCUCGAGCAAAAAUUGCUCGCAAGGGCUCAAAUCCAUCUACAAAACCGCGACCGAGUUUGCGUCAACGAAAUUUCAUCACCGGUGGCCGAUCUACAAGGGACAAAAAAGGGGCUCACCGGCUUCGGUCGGUCCGGGGCGGCGGCAACCCGGGGGCGGCUCGGCGAAUCCGGGGCGGGCAACGACUCGAUGGCGGUCGAUCCGGGGUGGUGGCGACCCGGGGCGCCGGCGAGUGGACCAGGGUGUAGUGCGGCCCGGCGGCGUGAUUCCGUCGGUGGAAAUGGCCAGAAUCGCAAGCUGCGGGCGGGCGGCGACGGUGGCGGGCGGCUGCGGGAGAGGAUGUGGGGAACGCACAUGCUGAAAUGUCCCUCCCGCCAACCGCUUUUGCAGGAUACAAGGCACCGACGGGGCAGGGGGGGCUGGGUUUUCGCGGGUCGGAGAGGGCAAUUUAUCGUGCCCCUCAAAAAAAUUUAAGGGUCGUGCGCGUUUAUGGUGUCUGUUCGGGUCAUUUUUUCAUGCCAAACUGUAACUGACGAUUAUUUUAUGUGUCGGGGUGAUAUAAGUGGUCUGCUAGAGAUGCUUCGAUGAAUCAUUGAGGUUUGGCUACUACUGCCUUUCACUCUCCCGUGAACAUCAGGCUAGUGGUGCAUGUGAGUGAUGAGAUUGUCGCGUCUGGUGCGUUGGCACCUAAUUUCAAGUUUCCAGUUCGUAGACAUGCCAGGACAUGUCUGUGGACAUUUGAUGAUGUUCAUUUGGUGAUUAGCUUUUGAGAUGCCCUAAAAUAUCGACAUGCUAAGAGAUGCUCUACAGUAUUAGCAACGAGCUCAUAUUACUUCAUCCGGAAAACCUCUCAUAGUAAUAGUUUACCUUUCACCAUGAAAUUGGCAACAAGUUUAUAUUACUCCCUCCGUUCCUAAAUAUAAGCCUUUGUAGAGAUUUCACUAUGGACUAUAUACGGAGCAAAAUGAGUGAAUCUACACUUUAAAAUGCAUCUACAUACAUCCAUAUGUGGUUCAUAGUGAAAUCUCUCCACAGACUUAUAUUUAGGAACAAAGGAAGUACUUCAUAAGAAAAAACUCAUAAUAUUACUUUACCCAUUACCAAAAGAAAAACAAGCCACACAAAAUCGUACACGCGUAGAUUUACUAUUACUAUGACUGCGAUGGUAUCUUAGGCCGUGUGGUCUCUAGGUGACUGGCCGGCUGGCUAGGGUGGAGAUCGUCAAGAUGGGUCGGUAUCAUCACAUGAUGGCGCAGGAGUUGACGUCCUCGUCGUUGAACAUGUUCAUGUACCGGACCUCCGGCGCCCCGGGGUCGGCCAUGGCCUGCGGCGCGCCGCGGACGAAGCCCGCCGGCGCCUUCUUGUCGUAGGCGCCGCCGACGUAGGGAUAGGUGGUGAGCGAGUACGGCACGUAGGGCCACAUCUCGGCCACCUUCCCGGUGCUCUUCACCCGCGCCAGCACCUUGCUCGGCUCCACGAACCCCGUCACCGUCACCUUGCUCAUCUUGGGGUUCACUGACACGGCCGUCACACCUUUGGCAUCAACAUGUACAGAAUAUGAAACGUUCAUCAGCAGAAUUUAACUUCACAAAACUAUUCGCAACGAAAACUUUAGAUUGCUUGAUGUUGUUUCAUUUCUGGAUAUCGCUACGUAUGUAGGAGUAUGUAUGUGUGUACCCCGAAUCGACUUGACGGCGUUCUUGACCCUCCUCUCGCAGCCCUCGCAGUCCAUCUUCACCUUGAUGUUUACCGUCUGCGGAUCACAAACUACUCGAGUUAAUCACGUGUAUAUAUAAAACAACGAAAUGGCNNNNNNNNNNNNNNNNNNNNNNNNNNNNNNNNNNNNNNNNNNNNNNNNNNNNNNNNNNNNNNNNNNNNNNNNNNNNNNNNNNNNNNNNNNNNNNNNNNNNNNNNNNNNNNNNNNNNNNNNNNNNNNNNNNNNNNNNNNNNNNNNNNNNNNNNNNNNNNNNNNNNNNNNNNNNNNNNNNNNNNNNNNNNNNNNNNNNNNNNNNNNNNNNNNNNNNNNNNNNNNNNNNNNNNNNNNNNNNNUUGAAACUGUUUCCAAGCAAAACAAGAGAGCACACGCGUACUAAAAAAAAAUGAAUUCCACAAGCCUCACCUGCAUCGGCCGCCUCUUCCUGAGCUUGAGGGCUGCCUUUGUGUCUGUCAUGCUGCACAAAUCGGAGAGGUGAUCCAAGACGCCCAUGAUCUUAUUGAUCUGACACGACUGAAGCAGUAGUGUUCUCGGGUACAGAACCGUGAAGGGUCGUAUAUGUAGAGACGAAAGAGGAAGGAACAAGAAAAUAUCAGAGGAUAAAUUUAAAUUUGUAUGGUUAGGGUGGACGUGCAAGUCCAUAUUGAUGCUUCUAGGCUGCAGAGAGCGAGCGAUUAAACCACGGCGCUUUCGGAUUAAAUGAGCAAACACCCCUGCUUCCAGGAUGACCAUUCCCUGCUUCACAGGCCAGCUGUUUUGACAGGAAGCUGCUUCAUUAUUAUUUCUUGUUUGUCGUUUCACGGAGAUGAUUUGUUUUGGUAGACUGGGAAAUGCACGGCGUCAAUUAGCUCUCUACUCGCUACCUAAACAAAACAGUACUACCUCUAUCUAGAAGAAUUAAAUAUGUGUUAUAUGUCAUGAAAAUUAUAUCACUAGAUUUCUACACGGAUGUAGUUUCUAAAAUAUAUAUAUUUUUAUCACAUAUAAUACAUAAUUAAAUAAUUAAAUCGCCGACCUAGACUUAUUCACCGAGACGGAGAUAGUACAAAGCAAGUAACUGCAGGUAGAUGAAGCCUUCGACUGUUCUUCAGAAACAGAGCAACUACUCUCUCAAAAAGAAAAGAAAAAACUCAAAAGAUAUACUGGCAUACAGCUUGCUCGUACAUGCAUCUAUGUUUGUUUCGUUUACAUAACAAUUUCUAGUGCCUCGCUUCAAACUUCGAACUUCAAGAGAGUGAAAGAAGAGAGAGACAAAAAAAGAAGAGGAGAACACAUAACUGAAAGGGCAGUGAUAUUAAUCUAGGUACCAUCACCAGGACACCAAGCUGAGAUAACGAAAUAAGAAGAUGGUGUACCCAACUAG